UUUGACAUGUCUUAGGGCAUUGGAUUUGAGCAGGAAUCAGUUGAUUGAGGAACUUCCUAAGGAGGUAGGAAAAUUGAUACAUUUAAGAUACCUUAAUCUAUCAAGGUGUUCUCGUUUGAGAAAGUUGCCUGAAACAAUUUGUGAUUUAUAUAAUUUGCAAACCUUAAAUAUUCAACAAUGUUUCUGUCUUCAGAAACUACCACAGGCAAUGGGUAAACUAAUUAAUUUGAGGCAUCUUGAAAAUUAUGGUGCUGACAGUCUAAAGGGCUUGCCAAAAGGAAUUGGAAGAUUAAGCUCUCUUCAGACACUGGAUGUUUUCAUGUUGAGUAGUCAUGGCCAUGAUGAAUGCCAAAUAGGAGACCUGAGAAACUUGAACAACCUAAGAGGACAUCUUUUCAUUCAAGGGUUGGAUGAAGUGAAAGAUGCAGGGGAGGCAGAAAAAGCAGAAUUGAAGAAUAAGGUACACCUCCAAUAUUUGACAUUGGAAGUUGGUGAAAAGGAGGGGACAAAGGGUGUGGCUGAAGCUCUACAACCCCAUCCAAACUUGAAAUCUCUAUGUAUAUUCCAUUAUGGUGAUAGAGAAUGGCCCAAUUGGAUGAUGGGUUCAUCAUUAGCUCAACUGAAAACACUUUACCUCGCGUUUUGCGAUCGAUGUCCAUGUUUGCCUCCUUUGGGGCAACUGCCUGUCCUUGAGAAGCUGGAUAUAUGGCAUAUGCGUGGUGUGAAAUACAUAGGUAGUGAGUUUUUGGGAUCAUCAUCAACAGUAUUCCCAAAGCUGAAGGAAUUGUCUAUUUCUGGUUUGGAUGAAUUGAAGCAAUGGGAAAUAAAAGGAAAAGAAUAGAGGUCAAUAAUGCCAUGUCUCAAUGACUUGACUAUGCUAGCCUGCCCAAAGCUGGAGGGACUGCCGGACCAAGUGCUCCAGAGGACACCAUUGCAGAAAUUGGACAUCACAGGUUCUCCUAUUCUGAAACGACGCUAUCGAAAGGAUAUGGGAGAGGAUCGGCACAAAAUAUCUCAUAUCCCAAAAGUAGUUGAAUAUUCACGGGACUGAAUGGUCAUCACGCUUCACCUCAUGUCACUCUUGUUACAGGUAAUUUGAAUUUAUCUUAGUUUUCAUUUCCAUUGCAUCCAUAAUUGCACACAUUAAUGUAUUUCAUGAAUAAUCUUUUUCUGAAGCUUUCCAUUUUGCAUAACAUUAUUAUGUUAUGCAAAUGUGGGUCAUGAAUAAUCUUCAACUUUGGGAAUGCAAUUGUUGUUGUUGUUGUUCCCAAAAAUUCAUGACCCACAUACUUGAAGGAAACCAUUCUCCAAAUGUCAAGCCCCUCCAGAUGAGGUAGUUUUCCCAAGGAAGGCAAAUGGGUGUACUUUAUACUACCUUCCAGCUUAAGCGUUGUCAAUUGGGAUAGUGAUGUGGUCAACCAAUUGGGGAAUUUGAUGUCAUUGUAAUGGUAUAUGCCUAAAGAUUUCAGGUCUUGAUGGGGUUGUAGGGCUUCAGCCACGAUCUUCAUCCCCUCUGCUGCUUCUUCCUUAUCUGUAUAGAAAUUCAAAUAUGGAGGUGCUUCUUUUUCUUUAAUUCUGCUUUCUCUGCUGCCCUAGCGUCCCUCACAUUACCCAAUCCACUUAUUGCAAGAUGCCCACAAAGAUUGUUCAAGUUUGGCAGGUCUCCCACUUUGAGUGAAUUAUCAUCAUCGUCAUCACCCACAACAGCAAUCUCUGCCAAUGUUCGAAGUGAACUUAAUCUGCCAAUUCCUUUGGGCAACACCCUUAUAAGAGUGCUGUCUGUUUCAAGAUGUCUCAAGUUUAUCAGUUUUCCCAGCCCUUGAGGCAGAUUCUCAAGACGCCAACACUUACUAAGUGUCAAGGUUUGCAAAUUACAUAAAUUGCACAUAGCUUUUGGCAAUUCUUUCAACCAAGCAUUAUCCGACAAGUUAAGAUACCUGAGAUGUAUCAGCUGUGCUAUCUCCCUGGGAAGUUCUUCAAUUGAGUUGUUGGCCAAUUCUAAUGUUCUAAGAGAUUGCAAACAUUGGAAUAUAUUAGGUAGCCCUUUACGAAUGUGUAAGUUGCCUCGAGAAAUAACUAAGAUAGUCUGUAGAUUCUCUAUAUUGAAAACAGAGACAAGAAAGGGGCUGUUAUAUGAAAAUACUAUACUUGAAUGACGACCCAUUUUAUAGAAUGAUUCUAACCUCAGAUCUUUUCCAUUAUCAACCUCCAUGAUAAAACAUUCAUUUUUUGUCAAAAAUUGGGCGAAGUCAUGCACUAUAUCAUGCAUCUUACACUCUAUUAUAUUUCCAUCAUUGUCUUUUACAAAAUCUUGGAAAAGAAAGCGCAUUGCUAAGCUUUCAAAGUACUCACGACCUAUGGUCUCCAUCUCUUUACUUUUAGAGCUGAGGUAACUCUGGGCCAUCCACAACUUGAUCAAAUUAUCCCGCUUUAUGACAUGAUUUUUUGGAAACACUGCACAAUACGAGAAACAACAUUUCAUUGCAGAAGACAAAUCAUAGUAACUCAGUAAUAAAGCAGGGGAAAGAUCUCUUUCGAACACUUCCAGUUGCCAUACAUCAUUAUUCAAAACAUUUACCCAGUCUUCUUUCCUCUCUUUUAAAUGCAGGAGACUCCCCAAAGUUUUUGCAGCAAGAGGCAAGCCCUUGCACUUGUCUGCUAUUUUUUGGCCAAUUUCUUCUAAUUCUUCAAUACCUUUCUUAGUUCUACCAAAAAAAAUGAUCUUACUGAACAGUGACAGCAUUGCUUCUUAGACAAUUCUUCGAGUGGGUGUGUGUAGGUAGUUCCUAUCAUUCUAGUCACUCCCAUUUUAUGGGUGGUCACCAAAAUUCUGCUCUCUAGUGCUCAACACUUGAGACAAUUCCCCAGCUCCCAAAUUUGGUAGUUUUCAUUCCACACAUCAUCCAAUACAAGGAGGAACUUCUUUCUUGCAAUAGAGUUUUGAAUUUCUUGUUGUACAAUUUCAAGUUCAUGGAGAUGACUAGAAGUUUUUCUUUCAAGUGCUUCAAGUAUUGCCCUUGAAAUCCUCAUUGCGUCAAAAGGGUCUGACACACAUACCCAAAUCCUUUUUUCAAAAUGGGAACACACCUUAACAUCAUUGUAGGCUAGUUGGGCAAGCGUUGUCUUUCCAAUACCUCCCAAACCUACGAUUGAGAUCAUAUGGAGAUCCAAUGUUUUUUACUACUGCCACACAACAAUUUGCUUAUUAUGAUAUCCUUAUCCUCGCCUCGACCUUGUACCUCUGGUACAUCAAUAAAAGAGGUAGUUUUUGGUCUCUCAGGCUCUUCCAUGCCUGAAAUAAAAUUAAAAUUAUACCUUUCUCCUGGGCAAUCACAUCUAGUCUUCUAUUGAUUUCUCCUAUCUUAAGAGCGAUGUCAUGACAUAGGUGGAUACGACGAAUAGGAAAACAAGGGAAAGGGAUACAGCUGCACACCUUCUUCUUAUGAGUGAGAGCAUUGUCAACUCCCUGAAUUUGGACUUUGAGAAUUGAUGAGCUCCAUUCAUCCAGCACGUUGUCCAUGUCAUAUGCCAAUCCUUUGAGAUCUUAGCCAAAUUUUUACAGCUUCAUCCUUAACUUGUCUCUUCUCUGCAUCCACAAGAACUGCUCGGAUGUUCCUAAGUGUGUUGGUGAGCUUUUGGACGUCAUUUUCAGCACCCACAAGCAAUCUCAACUCUUGUUGAAUCUGCCGUUGGAUUACUAAAGCCAACCACUCCAAGACAAUGGAAACAAGGGCAUCAGCCAUGUUGUGUGAUGAAUUGGGCAGAAUUGAGAAAUGAAUGAUGGACAUAAAAGUUGCAGCUCAUGUCCUCAUUUGUAGCUGCAAUCAUGUAGUUGAGUUCAUAGAAAAAUGGCCCAACCACCAAGUUGACUUCAAGAGGACGAGUCUUUUUCCUUUUUCUCAAAGUGUUUAUAAUAUGAGCAUUAGUUUAUUUCAUUUAUUUCUCAAUUUCAAUUUCAAUUUUUCUAAAUUUUAUUCUUAGAAGAUUCAUAUGGUUAUCGUGUUUGCUGAUAAUUGUUUUGUUUUAUUUUUUAAUUUUAGUUUCAUUUUUGUCUUUCUUCUUGGUGUGUGGCAAUGACAAUCUUGAAGAUAAUAUUUCCCUGGGUCAUGUUUGUAGCUCCUUUCUUUUGCUUCUAGUUUUUUUUCCAUUUUCUCUUUCUCAACUCAGGAACCAAACAUGACUUAAAUAUUCACCUUCAGAUUUGUUUUUACCCUCAUUGAUUGGGGAGGUUGGAGUCCUCAUUGUUUGUUUUAGUUCAGGUCUGUUAUGCAUCAUCCGAUUCCAUUAGAUGGUUGACAAUCAUUUAUUUGUUCAUAUAAUAUUAAUAACAUUGCUAAUACCAUUCAUAUUAAUAUUAAUAUUUGAUUGGCAGGAAAAUGGAUGACAACUACCCAACAAACAGGGUUUGCUUUCUUUGCCAACUCAGACCAGAUCAUCCUUAGCAGGUGAGUACAAAUAAAUACAUAAGCAAAAUAAUAAGUGGGUAACAUCUAUUCCCCUUAAUACUCUUUGUUGUUUUUUUUCAAAAGUAAUAUAUACCAAUUUAUUACCCUUAACAUCUAUUCCCCUAUUUGUUUAGUUGUAUACCAAUUUAUUACUUGUAACAAAAUUACUUUUUCAAAUGCUAAUUCAUUAAUUCACUUUCCUUAUUUAAAUAAUUUUAGGCAUAAAGAUGGCCAAACUAUCAUUUUUAUUUUUUUGAAGUUAAAUUGGGUUAAAAUAAUUAUUUAAUUAAUAUUGAAAGAAAAUUUUGUAACCCUAGCAUAUGAAAUUACUUGGAAGAUGAUGAAUAAAUAUUCCCUGAAUUAAUUUCAAAUUAAAUUCUUUGUUAAUAACUUUUAGUAUGUCCUUUAGAUUAAUUAUUUAUUAAGAGCAAACAAUCUCAUGUACGUGUUCAAAAAAAUAAAAUUGAUUAUAUUAAUAAAUAUAAAAUAUAACAUGAAAGAAUCAUCUAACAAUAUACUAAAAGGAAAAUCAUGCAACCAUACAUCACCAAAAAAUAAAUAUGCUUUUUGGAACUUUGUUUUUACCUUUUUAAUUGUAAUGUGUAGAAAAUUGUAAGUGGUCUCCUAACUAUUGAAUAAUUCAUUAAUUACGAGAAAUGGUACAAUAAUCCACUAACUAUGAGAAAAGUACACUGUUUUACCAUUAUGAUCAAUUAGGAGAGUUUCAAACCUUUUAAACAUUCCAAAAUGAUUUUUUACUUAAAAAAAAAAAAAAAAAAACUUUGAACAAUCAUUUUAAAUGAUGCCCCUGAUCUUUUGAACGGUCUCUCCCAUUUGACAUGUUUUGCCAAACUAUUUUCAAAUGCCUUUUUAGUACUUUUUCAUGUAAUUGUGAUUCUGAAAGUUUUAUCAACUUUAAAUGCAUACUUACCUUGAAUUUGACAACUCUGAAUCAACUCGAAGCUAAAUUUGAUGAAGUUCAAAGUUGUCUUGAGACAAAUAAGAUGAAAAGAAGUAAUAGGAAUCUAAAUAGUAAGAAAUGGAGCAAAAUUAUCGAUUAAAAAAAAUUCAUUAAUAAUCCCCCUUCAACAAUUGUAUGAUAAAAUACAAACAUUACAAUGAGGCUCCCAUGACUCUCAAAUGCACUGCCAACCUACAUGUUUAAGGUAAAGAAAAAUGGAGCAGUUUGAAGGUGCAGUCUUCGCUGCAGCACCCAAAAAGGAGCUUGCCAUAUUUGGAGAAGAUGCAAUGAGUACAAUAAUAUUUUCCCUUUUUUAUUUGGAUGCUGAUUUCAUGGCCUUAAAUUUGAAUAGCUAGUUGGAAAGUUAAGUUCUGUACCUCGAGUUCAAUGGGGCUUGAAUGGGGUAAAAAUAAAAAAGAAAAUGCUGCCAUGAAUGUAGAACAUAUGGUCAAAAUAUAGAAACUUGGAGGAAUUCAGUAUAAGGAAUGUGAAAAUUGAAUGAACCAUAGCUGAUUGUCGGUUUUUGUAGGACACAAAUAUACCAAGAAGAGGAAAUUGCAUCAUUAGGAUUCUUUAGCCCAUCCAUUCCAUUUGGCAUCUAGCAAAGACUACACUCCUGCUCCUACAUCGUCCACACUCCCCCUGCUAUUCUUGAGAAUGAAGUUUGAUUCUAAUUAGUAAUCAUGGAUUGAAAAAUCGGAAAAUGUCGCCGAUAUUUCGGAGAAAUAUCGGUUAUCGGGCGGCAUCGAAACGAUAAUCGGCACCGAUUAUCGAUCGACGGAAAAAUCGGCCAAAAAUCGGCAAAAUCGCCGAUAUAUCGGCGAAAUAUCGGUGGAGAACCGAAAAAUCGGCGAAACAUCGGCGAGUGGAGGCACGCGCGGAGAAGAAGGAGGUGGAUGGAAAAAAAUCGGCAAUUAAUCGGCAAAAUCGGCGAUAUAUCGGCGAUUUUUUGAAAAAAUCGGCGAUUUUUUGCUGAUAAAAUCGCGAUAAAUCGGCGAUUUUUUCAAAAAAAUCGGCGAUUUUUUCCAACCAGAUUUCACCCGUGUAAUUUAAUUUUUUAUAAAAAAAUUACUAAGCAUGAAAGGAAGGAUUCCAUGUUGGGCCUGUCUUAUGACAUAGCCCACAUAUCCACUCCAAUUACUGUGGGCUUUUUUUUCAGCCCACAAGACCAUGCCAAGACUUUGCUGAGGAUGACUUUUAUAGGAGUCAUUUGACUCCUUGUUCCUCUCAUUUUCCGAUGUGGGAUUGCUUAAAUAUCAAUGAAAAAAAACAUAACAAAACUCCACCAAAAGGAUUUGAACCUUGGACCAAUCUUUUACUAUAGUCCACCUAGGACACCACUUGGCUAUAUGUGUUUUGUUAUCUAAUAUGCCAAACAAAACAAUAUAUAUUAGAUUUUAAAUUAUAAUAUUAAAUAAAAAUAAUAUAAUAUUUUUAAAAAUUAUGAAAUUAGUUUAAAUUUUCAUUUUUUUAUAUAUUCACAUUUCAAUAUUAUACAUAUUUCAUUUAAUAAAAUUUAAAAUAUUAAUAUGAUUUAAUUUGAUAAUAUCAAAGAUAUAAAAUAAUAUUAUUGAUGUUUAAUUUAUUCAUAUAUAUUUUAAAAUUUUUAUAAUUAUUUUUAAUUUUAAUAAUAUAUUUAUGACGUCACCUGUUCGAUCAUCGGUCCGAUUCUGAAAACAUUGAUUACACUUAUAAAAUAACUUUAACAUGUAUAUUCUUGCUUAUUUUUAUCAUUCUUUGGAUUUUUCUAAGCAUUCCCAUCAAUUUUGGAUAAUUUUUGUCUCAUCGAUAUUUGAUGAAAAAUAUCCACCGAUAUUUCCGAUAUAUCCGUAAAAUCCAAGUACCGAUAUAUCCGUAUUUACCGAUAUUUCAAUCCUUGUUAGUAAUCGAAAUACAACAAAAUGGAUUUUCCAUUCUCAUUCCAUUCCAUGCUCCCACCUUCCAAAUACAACAAAUUUGUUCUUCCUUGUGGGACCUUGAAUUAUAUUGUCUUGUGAUAAACGGGCAAGUAAAAUAAAAAGCUUCGCUCAGCACUAGUUCAUGGAUAUUAAAUCACAAAUGAAGAUUAAAAUGCAAUGGCAUCAAAAGUGAAACUUGAGUUGGGAGUUUCAUACCUUUUGUUUUAGCUGACAAGAUGUUUAGUUUUAACAUCAAAUGGAAAUUGACGAAUCAAGCACUCUGCAGGAUUAGGAGCAACGAAUUCAUCUGUCUAAUUUAUUUCUUACAUGAGCUCUGAAUAACUCCAAUAUUUUAUUUUGUUUACAAAGAAAAAACAGUACAACAUCCAAGAUGCCCUAAGUAGCAUUCUGAAUGCUUGAGGAUUCAGUAACCUAUCCGGAAUAUGAGCAGAAAAUACAGUAAAUCUAUUUUCUCUCUCAGGUAACAUAUUUCUCAAAAUUAUAAUGCUUCAUUUGCAACCAGAAUAAUAAAACAAAAAAACAGCUAACAGAUGUCAAAAGUAAUUGUUGACAAACGCAAGACCUACACCAGCUGGAAAUUACUAGUUUAUAGUAGGUGUGUAACUUGUAAUUGGAUAAUUAGAGAGUAAGGUAAUAAAUUUUGGUUGUGCCAAACUGUAUAAAAGGCACAAGCCUAAUGUGUAUUUUUAAAAAUUUUACGUAUCUUCAUCUCUAAGAAAUACAGGAAGCAUUUGUACAGGAAAUGGAGAGAGCAUCAAAACCAAGCAGAGAUAUAUCUUUACGAGGAUGCACACAUGUUGUUCCAUUGAAUACAAUUUUUUAUUAACUCAUCAUUUUGAGGUAGCAUGAUUGAUUAUUUUGAGGCAUUUGGGUGUGUUCCCUACCUGUGAAAACUAAUUCAUAUUUGUGUCUAUCUUAAGGUUAGAUGAGUGAUACUGCACAGUUAUAUUAACCAGAUCAUUCUAUUUUCUUUGUUUCUUGUUGGGGCAAUAGCAAAUCAUUAGCUUCAUUAGUAAUUAGAAAGUGAAGUGUUCAAACUCCCAAGAAGGACAGUACCCAACUUUGAGGUAAGAUCUCCACCAGAAUUAAACACAAUACCAAAUGGCAUGAUUUUUAAUCAUCUCCUUCUACAUAUAGAACAGCGGAGCCAUGUCACUCCCCUCACCCUCCAUUUGCAUGCAUAUGUCCUAACAAACAUGUUUUUUUUUUUUUUAGGUAUCCUAACAAACAUGUAUUAACUUUCAUAUAUAUUAUCCACAUGAUCUAUGUACACAUAAAAACAUAGAUCAUUAACAAUCAUUUGGUACAGAUCCUUUUUGAGAGUGGAUGUCAGGGUCAGGGGGAAAUGGAAGAUUCAUGUUUCUAUAAAAGAGUGGCUAUUUUACGAGGAGUUCGUCUUUUCAACCCUCUCGAGUUUGUGUGGGGAUAAAGCCCCUGGGCUUUGGCAAUAUUGUUGGGACUUAGUGAAAAAGUGAGGUGAUGGGCUUUUCUGCAGAGUUCUAUAAGAUAGGCACUUUUGAAAGAAACUUAAAUGCCACUUUUAUGGCGUUAAUCCCAAAAAAAGGGAGGUGCAAAGAUUUAAAAGAUUUCAACAUCAGUUAAUUCAUCUCAACCUGCAUCCAAUCCAGAAUAUGAUCAGUGGGUGAUUUUAGAUCAAUUCUUGUUGAGUUGGAUUCUUGCUUCCAUAUCUGAAGCCAUGUAUGGUCAUGUGGUUAAUUGUCAAACAUCAGCCGAAGUAUGGAGUGUUCUUGAAAAACUUUUUGUCUCGGAUUCAAAGGCAAGAACUCUUCAACUACGUUUCAUGCUACAAUCAUUAAAGAAAGGUGCUCUAAGCAUAAAUGAUUAUGUGCUAAAAAUGAGAAACAUAGCAGAUAUGCUCUCUGCCUCUGGAAAACCUGUACCAGAUGAAGAUUUAAUUCUUUACAUUUUAGGUGGAUUAAGACUAGAAUUUGAAACAAUUGUUGUGAAUAUUACAUCUAGAUCUGAGGCAAUCUCUCUACAAGAAGUCCAUUAUCUGCUACAAAGUCAUGAAAUUCGUCUUGAGCAACUUUCAGCGGCCUCUGUUAUUGACGUUCCACUAGCAGCACAUAUUACAGUUGGAGGUGUUCAAAAUUCUAACACUAAUGAUGGACAGUUCAGAGGCAAGGCAAAACAGCUUCCAUUCCCUACCACUAUUAAUAAAACACAAGUUCCAUUUGAACUAGUUUUUUCAGAUGUGUGGGGCCCUGCACAUAUAACUUCAUGUAAUGGGUACAAAUAUUACAUUGCAUUUUUAGAUGCUUUUACAAACUAUACUUGGAUUUAUCCCAUGCAACAAAAGUCCCAAGCAACAUCAAUUGGCUUGUAGUUCAUAGCAUUGGUAGAUCGACAAUUUCCCACUAAACUUAAGUGUCUACAAAUAGACUGGGGUGGAGAGUUUCGUCCCCUUCAAUCUCUUCUGUAGAAGAAAGGCAUCAUCUUUCGUCAUCCUUGUCCUCAUGUUCAUCAAUAGAAUGGGAAGGUGGAACGAAAGCAUAGAAGCAUUGUAGAAAUUGGAUUAACUCUGUUGGCUAAGUCUCAAUUGCCAUUUACUUUCUGGUGGCAUGCCUUCUCUAUAGCAACUUACCUUCUCAAUAGACUACCAACUCCGGUUCUCCAUUGUAAUUUAUCUGGAUUUUUUUCUCUUGACAUGUGAAUUACUAUUUUUAAAUUACUAAUUUGACAGACUGUGUUUUGCUUAACUGUUGCACUAAGGUGGGGCAUGUUGUCGGUAGAGCCGCGUCAAAAAUUUAAUAUAGAAGGAAAUUUAAUGUAGGAAAUUUCUUGGCAACUUCCUGCCUCUAAGCGUCAAAAAUUUAACAUAGAAGGAAAUUUCUUGGCAACUUCCUGCCUCUUAAGUCUAUAAUGGUGGGGCCAGUUUGAGACCCUUAGCGAAGGAAAAGUCUUGGCAACUUCGUGCCUCUAAGUCUAUAGAGGUUUUGUUGCCUUCUAAGGGUGAAGAAUUAUUUAGAUGACCAUUCAGAGCUAAUGAAAGCUUUUUCAAUAUAUCUAACUAUAUAUAUAUAUUAAAUAGGUUUGAGAAUUCUAAUUUUAUUUCUUAAAAAUAAAAAUAUAUUUUGUAAUUAUAUAAUAAGAAGAAAAAAAAGUAUUUUUACAAUAUUCUUUAUAAUUAUUUGCUAAUUUUGAAUAAUUUUUUAAUGUUUAGACAAGAUAGGAUUAUUGUUAGUUUUGUGAUGAGGUAUGAAAUAAUAGUUUUGAAUGAGUAUUAAUUUUCAAAAUCAUUUUAAAAAUCUUAAUUAUGAAAACAAAAAAAUAAAAAAAAAUAAAACUGGAACCAAACAUGGUUAAGUAACAAAAAUAGGUUGGCCCACAACUCCUUUUCCUUCAUUUCCAUUAGUCUUUAUUUCACUAGAAUUCUUAGUCUUUACGCGUUUUCUUACAAUGUGAUAUUUGUCAUAAAAUUCCAAGCUUUUACGGGGAAGAAGACAUCAAUCUGACGGUGAAACCGAAGAGAUCGACUAAAGCUCCAAUGAGAAUAACAAAUGGAAAAAAUAAGGUGGGCCUCAUUUCCUCCGCACAUAGUUGAUAAGCCAAGGCUAAAUAGUUGAUAUAGAUGAAGUCAACUAUUGGUGUUGUAUGGCUGCGCCUCUUUACCAGUGAAAUUAGAUUACUAGCUCUCUCACUUGCCUUCAUUCAUCACCCCCUUAUGGCUGACGCUCUCCUUUCUAUCGUCUUGGAGCGCUUGGCUUCCGUUGUUGAGCAACAGAUUCGUGAUGAACUUACUCUGGUUCUGGGUGUUGAAGCAGAAAUCCAAAGCCUCACAGAUACACUCCGAUCCGUCCGAGAUGUUCUUGAGGAUGCAGAGCGCAGACAAGUGAAGGAAAAAUCCGUCCAAGGUUGGUUGGAGAGGCUGAAAGACAUGGCUUACCAAAUGGACGACGUGGUGGAUGAGUGGAGCACUGCUAUUCUCCAAUUACAGAUCAAGGGAGCUGAAAGUGCUUCCAUGUCUAAGAAGAAGGUAAGCUCCUGCAUUCCCUCCCCUUGCUUUUGUCUCAAGCAAGUUGCUUCUCGUCGUGAUAUUGCUCUUAAGAUUAAGGGCAUUAAACAACAACUAGAUGUCAUUGCUAGUCAAAGAAGCCAGUUCAAUUUUAUCUCCAGUUUGAGUGAGGAACCACAGCGAUUUAUAACUACCUCUCAACUUGAUAUUCCGGAGGUAUAUGGUCGGGAUAUGGAUAAAAACACCAUAUUAGGCCAUCUGUUGGGUGAGACUUGUCAAGAGACCGAAUCUGGGCCCCACAUCAUCUCCAUAGUUGGGACUGGAGGCAUGGGCAAAACAACGCUUGCUCAACUAGCCUACAACCACCCGGAGGUGAAGGCCCAUUUUGAUGAAAGAAUUUGGGUCUGUGUCUCCGAUCCCUUUGACCCAAUCAGAAUUUUUAGGGAGAUUGUUGAAAUCCUCCAAAGAGAAUCUCCUAAUCUCCAUAGUUUGGAAGCUUUACAACAAAAAAUUCAAACAUGUAUUGCUGGAAAGAAGUUCCUUCUUGUGUUAGAUGACGUGUGGACCGAAAACCAUCAAUUGUGGGAACAACUGAAUAGCACUCUCUCCUGCGGAGGUGUAGGGAGUAGAAUUCUAGUGACCACACGUAAAGAGAGUGUUGUUGAGAUGAUGAGAACUACAUACAUGCACUCUUUAGGGAAAUUGUCUGAGGACAAAUCUCGGGCAUUAUUCUAUCAAAUAGCUUUUUAUGGAAAGAAUAGGGAGAAAAUGGAAGACUUCCAAGAAAUUGGUGAGAAAAUAGCAGACAAAUGCAAGGGCUUGCCACUCGCUAUAAAAACUUUAGGGAAUCUCAUGCGUUCAAAACAUAAUAGGGAAGAAUGGGAGAAUGUUUUGUGUAGUGAAGUAUGGAAGCUGGAUGUGUUUGGAAGAGAUAUUUCCCCUGCUUUGUUGUUGAGUUAUUAUGAUCUGCCCCCUACAAUUAAACGCUGCUUCUCAUUUUGUGCUGUUUUUCCAAAAGACUCGGUUAUUGAGAGAGAUGAGCUGAUCAAGUUGUGGAUGGCACAAAGCUAUCUCAAAUCUGAUGGGAGUAAAGAGAUGGAGAUGGUUGGUAGAGAGUACUUCGAAUAUUUAGCUGCUCGGUCUUUCUUCCAAGAUUUUGAAAAAGAUGGUGAUGAUGAUAUAAUAAGAUGUAAGAUGCAUGAUAUAGUGCAUGAUUUUGCUCAAUUUUUGACUCAGAAUGAAUGCUUUGUUGUGGAGGUUGACAACCAAAAAAAGGGGAGUAUGGACUUAUUCUUCCAAAAGAUUUGUCAUGCCACCUUAGUUGUCCAAGAGAGUACCCUUAAUUUCGCCUCCACUUGUAACAUGAAGAAUCUUCACACCCUCUUGGCUAAGAGUGCAUUCGAUUCAAGAGUUCUUGAAGCCUUAGGGCAUUUGACAUGUCUUAGGGCAUUGGAUUUGAGCUGGAAUCAGUUGAUUGAGGAACUUCCUAAGGAGGUAGGAAAAUUGAUACAUUUAAGAUACCUUGAUCUAUCAAGGUGUCAAAGUUUGAGAGAGUUGCCUGAAACAAUUUGUGAUUUAUAUAAUUUGCAAACCUUAAAUAUUCAAUAUUGUAUCAGUCUUCAGAAACUACCACAGGCAAUGGGUAAACUAAUUAAUUUGAGGCAUCUUGAAAAUUAUACUCGGAGUCUAAAGGGCUUGCCAAAAGGAAUUGGAAGAUUAAGCUCUCUUCAGACACUAGAUGUUUUCAUCGUGAGUAGUCAUGGCAAUGAUGAAUGCCAAAUAGGAGACCUGAGAAACUUGAACAACCUAAGAGGAGGUCUUUCCAUUCAAGGGUUGGAUGAAGUGAAAGAUGCAGGGGAGGCAGAAAAAGCAGAAUUGAAGAAUAGGGUAUCCCUCCAUCGUUUGGCAUUGGUAUUUGGUGGAGAGGAGGGGACAAAGGGUGUGGCUGAAGCUCUACAACCCCAUCCAAACUUGAAAUCUCUAUGUAUAUAUGGUUAUGGUGAUAGAGAGUGGCCCAAUUGGAUGAUGGGUUCAUCAUUAGCUCAACUGAAAAUACUUGAGAUCGGGAAUUGCAGAAGAUGUCCAUGUUUGCCUCCUUUGGGGCAACUGCCUGUCCUUGAGAAGCUGGUGAUAUGGAAGAUGUAUGGUGUGAUAUACAUAGGUAGUGAGUUUUUGGGAUCAUCAUCAACAGUAUUCCCAAAGCUGAAGGAAUUGCGUAUUUUUGGUUUGGAUGAAUUGAAGCAAUGGGAAAUAAAAGAAAAAGAAGAGAGGUCAAUAAUGCCAUGUCUCAAUCACUUACGUACAGAAUUCUGCCCAAAGCUGGAGGGACUGCCGGACCACGUGCUCCAGAGGACACCAUUGCAGAAAUUGUACAUCGAAGGUUCUCCUAUUCUGAAACGACGCUAUGGAAAGGAUAUUGGAGAGGAUCGGCACAAAAUAUCUCAUAUCCCAGAAGUAGUCGAAUAUUAACGGGACUGAAUGGUCAUCACGCUUCACCUCAUGUCGCUCUUGUUACAAGUAAUUUGAAUUUAUCUUAGUUUUCAUUUCCAUUGCAUCCAUAAUCGCACACAUUAAUGUAUUUCAUGAAUAAUCUUUUUCUGAAGCUUUCCAUUUUGCAUAACAUUAUUAUGUUGUAUCCAUAGGUCCAUUUUGGCACAUCUACACUGUUACUAAAGUGUUUAUCCUAUAAUAUCUACACCUUGCAAAAUAAGAGAAAUAAAAAUGAAAACCUUUUGUACAAAAAAACUUGAAACCUUUUCUAUUCUAAAAGUGUUUUGUUACAUGAUCAAAUACCUCCAACAACCGUGUAGAAGAGAUUUUAUGUGAUCUUUAGACUCUAUAUGUACUAUAUAAUGUUAUAUAUUAUCAAAUUCCAUUUUAGGGUACACUUUUCUUGGGCAUGGGCCUAGUGUUCCCUCUUUUCUGGUGGAGCUGGGGGUUUUCGGCUUAGAGUAGACUUUUGUUGGGCCAUGGGCCUAGUGUUUCCCCUUUUCUGGUGGUAUGGGCGCAAUGAUUGAUCAGGUUUCAGGCCCAUGGGUAUAUAUAUAAAUUGUAAAAAUAAUAUUUCAAAUACAUUAAUGAAUGAGAAAUGAAACAAAUGAAAAACAUGAUCUAAAUGUGUGGACCCCGCAUUUCGGCUCAUGCGUUUCCCACUCGAAGGCGAGCUCGAUUUUAUUUGAAAAAUUGAUUUUAUUGAUUAAGAAAAAUGACUUGGAGUCGCCACUCAUUUUUGUUUUAUUUUUAAAGGGUAAACAAAAUAAGAAAGAAAAAACCCUAAGUGUGACUCCUUAUUUUGGAAAAGUUGGUCUGUGAAAAACCGGAUCGGGUUCGGGGGUCAGGUUACUUGUCGGGAAGGUGCGGUAAAGACCGUAGCACCCCUCUAAGCCCCUAAAAUAGGUCUCUACUAAUAAAAUGAAGCAGACAUGACAAUCGAUUAGGAAAAACAGUGAAUACCCGGAACUAUCAUGCACAUAUGAGAAUCAGAAUAUGAAUAGCGAAUGAUCAGAAUGAGUGAAUACGUACCUGGGCAGCAAACAGCAAUGCGCUAUCAUGGAAUGGGGUUAGUGAAUAAACACAGAAUGAUUAUAUACAUAUCAUGGAAUAUAGCAAAACGAUCAUGCGUGGUAAAUAAAUCAAUCAAGCGAUCAAUCAGAAAAUCAUGUACGUGGGGCCCCCACCAAAGCCCGAUUUAUAUUGCAUGAAUUAAUCCCAUAAAUCCCAUUAUUCGGAAUUACGAAAGAAUUGUUCAUGCUUAUUAUUAAAAACAAGAGGAGCAGAAGAUUGUUUGAAGACCAUAAUGGAAUUAAGCUAUUUGAGAGAAAAACGGAUUUUUGAAAUUCAUUUGAAAAAUUGGAGUCUUAUUUGAAAAUCGGAUUUUUAGAAAUUAAAUAUAGGAAUGAGAAUUUUAGAAAUUAAAUUUGAAAGGAAUUGGAAUUUCAUAGAACUAAAUUUGGGAAUCGGAAUUUUGAAAAAUUAUUUUAAAACGGGAUUUUAAUAAAUAAGUAAGUGAAUAAAUAAAUGAAUGGAAUAAUAAUAAUAAUGAUUAGAUAAAUAAUUGUGAAAAUUGGGAAGUGAACUUGGGAAUUGGAAAAUUGAAGAAUUAUUUAGGGAUGGAAAGUCGGAAAAUUAAAUUUCGAAAACUAGAAACCCGAAAAAUUAUUUUAAGGAUGGAACAUCGAAAAAUUAAAUUAAUGGAAUAAUGAUGCUAAUUGACGGAAACAAUAUUUAAACGAACAAAAUGAAUAGUAAAAUUUUUGGGAUUGAAAAUUAAAUUAGGACACUAGAUUUUUGAAAUUUUGGAUUUUAAUGAUCAAAAUAAUAAAAUAAUAAAUAAAUAUGGGGUAAUAAUACUAAUUAACGAAAAUAGUAUUUAAACGAGUAAAAAUGAAUAGUGGAAUUUUUGGGAUUAAAAGUUAAAUUAGGACGUCAGAUUUUCGAAUGAUUUGAAUUUUUAAAUGAAAUAAUUAAAUAAAUAUUGAAUAAUAAUAAUAAUAAUAAUAAUAAUAAUAAUAACAAUGAAAACAAUAAUUAAAUAGAUGAACGUAAAUAGUGAAAUUUUUGAAUUUGGAAAUUAAAUUUGGAAAUUGGAAAAUUGGAAUUUCAGAAAUUGGGAAUUUAAUUUGGAAAUCGAAAUUUUUAAAGGAUUAUUUAAAGAUGAAAAUUUGUAAGAUAAAAUUAUUUGGGUGCUAGAUUUCCAUAAAUCAACUUUUAAAAUUUGAGGGCUUUGGAAAUGGGCCAAGGGUGAUAACCAAGCAAAUGGGAGCAUUUAGGAAUGGGCCAAGGUGGAGAGAAAAUUUAAAAUGAUGCUCAUGGGCCUGGGCUUCAAAAUGCACUUUGAGAUGACCUUAAAAUGGAGAAAGGCCUUCAAAAUGCACUCACGGGCCUUGGGCUUCUCCAAUCCAUUGUGCAAGAAAAUAAGUUUAGUGGGCUUUGGAAGUGGGCCAAGAAAGGUGGCCAUGCAAAGGUGGGUUGAUGGGUAUUUGGAAAAUGGGUAUGUGGUGUAGAGAGAUAACCGGGUAGGGGGUAGAAAGUGAGUGAGUUAGUGAGAAAAUGAGGGUUUGGUAGUGGUGGUGGUGUAGAGAGAGAAAACAGUGCAUGAAGGGUAUGUGGUGUAGAGAGAGAAAGGUGGUAAGAAGAAGAAAAAUGGGUAAGUAGAGGAUAGUUAUGCAUGGGAGGGUGGUGAUAUAUAUGAGGGCAUGGAGGAUACGGGUAUGGAGGUUAGCAUGGGUAUGUGUUGAUGAAUGGCAACCAUGGGGGGUGGCCAUGCAUGCACGAUUCCCAUGCAUGUAGGUGGGUGGCUUUGGGAUUCCUAUGGAGAUGAGCAUAACAUGGGUAUGGUGGGCAGCCGGGUAUGAAAAUGGAUGGUUUGCAUGGGUAUGAAGGGUGAUGGCUAUGGGUGCAUGCAUGGGAUGAGUGAUAUGGAACGAGCUAGUGAGAGAAAGGGUGAUGGGAAGGAAAAUGGGUAGGAAACAAUGGGUUUGAUGGCUAUGGGUGCAUGCAUGGGAUGAGUGAUAUGGAACGAGCUAGUGAGAGAAAGGGUGAUGGGAAGGAAAAUGGGUAUGAAACAAUGGGUUUGAUGGCUAUGGGUGCAUGCAUGGGAUGAGUGAUAUGGAACGAGCUAGUGAGAGAAGGGUGGUGAGAAGGAAAUGGUCAGUGGGAAAUGGGUAUGCAUGAAAUGGUUGUGAGAGGUGGUGCAUGAGGCAUGAGGGAUAUAAAACGAGAAGCGGUGGAACAUAUAACAUGAGUAAUAGGAAUAUAGACAUGAAGGUGAUGGGAAAAUGGUGAGAUGUUUUCAUGGGAAUAUGGUGAAUAGGAAUUAUGAAAUGGGUAUGAAUGAUGGGUUCUUGAGAAGAUGGAAGAUGAAAUGUUCCAUAUGGCCAUGCAUGCAUGCAUCACGUGCAAGCAGGGAAUGCCCACAACAAACUGAGCAUAAAAAAAACACAAAUGCCAUCAGCACAUAAUACCCUUGGGAUCUUCAUUUGGACUCUGUUAUUCCCAGCAUAACAAUCAAGAGGAGCGACAUCAUGUCCCGUUAAAAAAAAGGUCUCCUUCGCGUCUUCCUUGGUUGGGUCAAUAGAAAAAUCACCAUUGGGUGUCUCGUCUUCCAAAAACAAUCUCAAAUGGUGCCAAAAGAUCAUUCAUUGCAGGGACAUUUGCACCUCCAGUAACAGAGGAAACGGCAAGAACAGAGUACCAAAAAUGGGAAUAAUAAAAUAAAUAAAUAAAUAAAACGUGCAAAGCUCGUUUCAUGCUUCAUUCAACAAGCUUGCUAACGGAUUGAAAGACCAUAGGUUCAUACGAAUAUAUGGGAAUGAAGGCUGAGAUAUUUCAUAGUGAAGCUAAAAACAGAGUCGGCUUACUCUUCAACAAAACCAAGAGGGAAAGAUGAUAAAAUAAUGAUCAUAAAUCCAUGGUUAUUCUAGAGAUCAAGGAAAGCUAACAAUAUGACCUGAUAUACAUACCUGAAACAAACAAUAAUAUCUGGAGACAAAGUAGAGAAAAUAACAAACAGGGACAAUGGUGAAUAUGGGGUUCGUACCUGGAAAGCCCUUUCUAAAAAAAAACCUUCCCAGCCCGCUUCUUUCUCAGUUUGUGUCUUCCUCAGCCAGCCCUCUCGCCUAAGAUCCUUCUUCUUUUCUUCCUCUGUUUUCCUCUUCCUCCGCAAGCUACUAGUGGCCUGGACUCCUUAAACCACAAGAACCGAGCUUCGACUCUCUCAAUGAAUUUUUCUCCCUCCCUGUAACAGCUGGCCUCUCCCGAAAGUUCAAACCUCUGGCUUCCCCAGCAAGCCACUACCUGCUUCCCGUCUCUGCCGAUGUCCUCUUCCUUCCUUUUUCUCCUUUUCAGUCUUCCUCAGCAAGCCAGCCGUUGCUUCCUGCCAUCCGCCGCACUCCUCUGCCCGAGCCAACCUCCCAUCAGCUGCCUGAAAAAAAGGAAAAAAGAAAAAAACAAAGAAACUCCCCCCUGCUUCGCAGCCUCAGGGGGGGUCUACAAAAUGUUAACUAAUUAAUAUUUUAAUAGCCUAACCUAUUAGAUUAUUUGCACAAAAUAUUGCAAAGAAAAUUUCAAAACUUAUCAAUAAAAACCAUCUUGAUUCUUGUCUCAAAAUUAUAUCCAAAGGCAUCAUUUAUUAUUAUUAUUUGUCAUUUUUACUUGCAAGCUUUGAUAUUUUUUUUUGUCUUUGACUUAUUUUAUUUGCUUUCUUAUCUUUUUUCCAUCUUAAUUUUAUUGGUUAUGGGAUGUGAAGGAGAUUAACACUAUUGUUUUUCGUUUCAGAGAAGCAAGUUCAAAUAAAAAGGAGAAAAUUCCCAACACCUAUGUAUUGUGAAGUUGUCUAUGAAUCAAUUUCAAAUUGGUGAUUUGUAAAUUCUUUUUCUCUUUUUCUUUUCCCCUUUUAUUGGUUUGCCUAUAUAUGUAAGAAUGUGUAAACUUCAAUGUUAUUAUUUGGAUUUAUUUCCUACAACAUAAAUGGUUUGCGAAUGAUGGGAACUUGCAUGCAUGCAUGCAUGAUGUUUCUUCUGAUUUGUUGUAAGGACAUAUCUAUUGUUAACCUAAUGGAUGAAGUGGGAUGUUCUUGAAAUUUCAAUGCAAAGGUUUCAAAUGCUUGGUUGUGAUUCGAACAAAAUAUUCUCUUAGAGAGGGCUCUGUCUAAUAAAUGUGAGGCAUUAUCAACUAACUUAAGGUCCAUUUGACAAUGUUUUAUGAAACUUAUUUUUUAAAACUGUUUUUUAUUCUUUAACUUAAAAACAAUUUUUAAAAACAAGUUUUGGAAGUACAUGAUCAAAUGGAUCCAUGUUUUCCUUUCGUUUUUAAAAACUGGUGAAAACAACUCUUAUUUGUUCUCUAAAAAUUAUUAUCUAUUUCACUUUGUUUUUAAAAAUUGUUUUAAGAGAAUAACGAUAAAACAGUGUUAGAAUAUUUUAAAAAUAGUUUUUUAUUUUUUAAAAACAAAAAAUUGUUUUUAAAUCAAACGACCAAAUAGGUUCUUAGUGUUUGUUUGGAUACACUUUUUAAUUUUAUAAAAUGCUUUUUGUUUUUUAUUUAUAAAAUUAGAAAAUAGUAGUUUCUUUACAUAAGAUAUAAGAACUCUGAUAAUUUAAAAAUAAUUUAAUAAAUUGAAAUGUUAAAGAAAAUUUACUAUCUCAAAAUUUAAAAUUUUUUAAAAUGAAUUUAAAAAAUAUAAAGUAAAUUUAUACAUAAGGAUGUUUUUGGUAAAAAUGCAAAGAUGCAUUAAACCUUAUGAAAUUUUAUUUUUUUUAUGGAGUUAAUUAAUUAAUUAGAACCUAAUACAACUAAAUAAUCAAUUAAGACUCAAGUGAACUAGUUUAGGUGACCCAAGUACAAUUUAGGAUUAAGUCACUUAAACCUAACAAAAAACCCUAUAAAUGCACCUUAAGGGAUAGGGUUUUGACCUUCUUUCUAUCAUCUUCCAAAGAGCCUUCAAAGAGAAAAACCCUACUUGUCUUCGAAAGAGAAAAGUUCACCAUUUUCUCAUGCUUAUACCCUUGAAAGAGAGCGAAUGGAAGAAUACCGGGUAAACAACUUCUACAAUGGUCUUUGAUAUCUUCAUCGGAUUAGAAACGAUUCAAAAACAUUCAAAUUGAAUGUAUGAUUACUAUAUUCUCUAUAUCUAAUUAUUAUAAUGGUUUUUUGAUGUUACAUAUUCUAUUACAUUAGAUUUAGAGAAGCCUAGAUAGAUAACAUAUACCCUAUAUGAUCUAGGGCUAGGGAACGGAGUGAUAUGAAGUUCUUCGCAAUUACAAAUUCUACAAAAUCCUAUUAAAAUCAUUGAUGAAAUAGAAUAUGAAGGCCAAAAUUAAUUAAGAUGAUUAAAGUGACACCACAAAUUGCAAUAUAAUCCUAUUGAAAUGAUGGGUGAAAUAGAAGCCAAAAUUAAUUGAGAAGAUUAAGACCUUGUUUAAUAACUGUUUUAGAUAACAUUUUUCUGUUUUAAAAAUACUCUAUGUUCAAAACAAGCCAUCCAAACAGCCCUUGGAGAAACAAAAUAACACACGUUGGAAAUUAGCUGCCAAACAGAGUUUAGGGAGAAAUUCCUGAAUCACCUCUCUUCGCAAUUCUCAUAAACUAGAGACAAUAAGGAUGAGAGCCAAGCUCCCAUUUUUAUUGUUUAUGGAGGGCUCUGUAAAGUUCAGGCUUCUCCAUUGAAGAGUAAGAGACGUUGAGGAAGACAACGGUUGGCGACGAACGACGGCAAGUUGGGCGAUGCCGAAUUAUCCAUGGCGGUGAAGGGUGGCGUCUCCAAUGAUUAGUGGCGAGAACAGCUUCCGGGAUGGCGGUGAUGAGGCAGUAACCAGCCAUAGCGGUGGGUUUGGUUGUGGCAGGAGAUUUCUUUACCCAAAGGUCAGUGUUGAUCUCUUCAAAAUCAUAGCAAGAAAACCCUAAAAGAAGAUCAAAGCCGGAGCCAGUGUUGGAUUACUGCAUAGCAUAGAGACAAAAUUAAGAAAAUAGAGAAAGGGGUCUUCAAUGAUUAAGAGAUGGAUUAACCAAGCAAGCAUUGUCAAUUUCAACUAUUUUUAGGGGAAAUCGAAGAAUAUAUGAUGCCAAAUAAUUAACAGAAAAUAAAUAAAUUAGUAAUUACCGAAAUGUGUGGACUAUUCAGAGGUCUUUUUUUAGGGCAGGACAGACGUAGAUGCACAAAGUCUGCAGCUGCGUCAUCCGGAGCAAGCUAUCCGGCAGGGCCUCUAGCUUGGGGCAUUUCUCCAGUGUCAAUGAACGGAAACAUGGCAUUAUUGCAACAUGGUAUCCUUCUUUUACUUUCCACUUUUUCCAUGCCUCCAUAAAAGCAAACCUCAGUUUCUUCAAGUUUGGGAAUGCAAUUGUUGUUGUUGUUGUUCCCAAAAAUUCAUGACCCACAUACUUGAAGGAAACCAUUCUCCAAAUGUCAAGCCCCUCCAGCUGAGGUAGUUUUCCCAAGGAAGGCAAAUGGGUGUACUUUAUACUACCUUCCAGCUUAAGUGUUGUCAAUUGGGAUAGUGAUGUGGUCAACCAAUUGGGGAAUUUGAUGUCAUUGUAAUGGUAUAUGCCUAAAGAUUUCAGGUCUUGAUGGGGUUGUAGGGCUUCAGCCACGAUCUUCAUCCCCUCUGCUGCUUCUUCCUUAUCUGUAUAGAAAUUCAAAUAUGGAGGUGCUUCUUUUUCUUUAAUUCUGCUUUCUCUGCUGCCCUAGUGUCCCUCACAUUACCCAAUCCACUUAUUGCAAGAUGCCCACAAAGAUUGUUCAAGUUUGGCAGGUCUCCCACUUUGAGUGAACUAUCAUCAUCGUCAUCACCCACAACAGCAAUCUCUGCCAAUGUUCGAAGUGAACUUAAUCUGCCAAUUCCUUUGGGCAACACCCUUAUAAGAGUGCUGUCUGUUUCAAGAUGUCUCAAGUUUAUCAGUUUUCCCAGCCCUUGAGGAAGACGCCAACACUUACUAAGUGUCAAGGUUUGCAAAUUACAUAAAUUGCACAUAGCUUUUGGCAAUUCUUUCAACCAAGCAUUAUCCGAUAAGUUAAGAUACCUGAGAUGUAUCAGCUGUGCUAUCUCCCUGGGAAGUUCUUCAAUUGAGUUGUUGGCCAAUUCUAAAGUUCUAAGAGAUUGCAAACAUUGGAAUAUAUUAGGUAGCCCUUUACGAAUGUGUAAGUUGCCUCGAGAAAUAACUAAGAUAGUCUGUAGAUUCUCUAUAUUGAAAAUAGAGACAGGAAAGGGGCUGUUAUAUGAAAAUACUAUACUUGAAUGACGACCCAUUUUAUAGAAUGAUUCUAACCUCAGAUCUUUUCCAUUAUCAACCUCCAUGAUAAAACAUUCAUUUUUUGUCAAAAAUUGGGCGAAGUCAUGCACUAUAUCAUGCAUCUUACACUCUAUUAUAUUUCCAUCAUUGUCUUUUACAAAAUCUUGGAAAAGAAAGCGCAUUGCUAAGCUUUCAAAGUACUCACGACCUAUGGUCUCCAUCUCUUUACUUUUAGAGCUGAGGUAACUCUGGGCCAUCCACAACUUGAUCAAAUUAUCCCACUUUAUGACAUGAUCUUUUGGAAACAGUGCACAAUAUGAGAAACAACAUUUCAUUGCAGAAGACAAAUCAUAGUAACUCAGUAAUAAAGCAGGGGAAAGAUCUCUUUCGAACACUUCCAGUUGCCAUACAUCAUUAUUCAAAACAUACCCAGUCUUCUUUCCUCUCUUUUAAAUGCAGGAGACUCCCCAAAGUUUUUGCAGCAAGAGGCAAGCCCUUGCACUUGUCUGCUAUUUUUUGGCCAAUUUCUUCUAAUUCUUCAAUACCUUUCUUAGUUCUACCAAAAAAAAUGAUCUUACUGAACAGUGACAGCAUUGCUUCUUAGACAAUUCUUCGAGUGGGUGUGUGUAGGUAGUUCCUAUCAUUCUAGUCACUCCCAUUUUAUGGGUGGUCACCAAAAUUCUGCUCUCUAGUGCUCAACACUUGAGAUAAUUCCCCAGCUCCCAAAUCUGGUAGUUUUCAUUCCACACAUCAUCCAAUACAAGGAGGAACUUCUUUCUUGCAAUAGAGUUUUGAAUUUCUUGUUGUACAAUUUCAAGUUCAUGGAGAUGACUAGAAGUUUUUCUUUCAAGUGCUUCAAGUAUUGCCCUUGAAAUCCUCAUUGCGUCAAAAGGGUCUGACACACAUACCCAAAUCCUUUUUUCAAAAUGGGAACACACCUUAACAUCAUUGUAGGCUAGUUGGGCAAGCGUUGUCUUUCCAAUACCUCCCAAACCUACGAUUGAGAUCAUAUGGAGAUCAAAUGUUUUUUACUACUGCCACACAACAAUUUGCUUAUUAUGAUAUCCUUAUCCUCGCCUCAACCUUGUACCUCUGGUACAUCAAUAAAAGAGGUAGUUUUUGGUCUCUCAGGCUCUUCCAUGCCUGAAAUAAAAUUAAAAUUAUACCUAUCUUUCUCCUGGGCAAUCACAUCUAGUCUUCUAUUGAUUUCUCCUAUCUUAAGAGCGAUGUCAUGACAUAGGUGGAUACGACGAAUAGGAAAACAAGGGAAAGGGAUACAGCUGCACACCUUCUUCUUAUGAGUGAGAGCAUUGUCAACUCCCUGAAUUUGGACUUUGAGAAUUGAUGAGCUCCAUUCAUCCAGCACGUUGUCCAUGUCAUAUGCCAAUCCUUUGAGAUCUUCUAGCCAAAUUUUUACAGCUUCAUCCUUAACUUGUCUCUUCUCUGCAUCCACAAGAACUACUCGGAUGUUCCUAAGUGUGUUGGUGAGCUUUUGGACGUCAUUUUCAGCACCCACAAGCAAUCUCAACUCUUGUUGAAUCUGCCGUUGGAUUACUAAAGCCAACCGCUCCAAGACAAUGGAAACAAGGGCAUCAGCCAUGUUGUGUGAUGAAUUGGGCAGAAUUGAGAAAUGAAUGAUGGACAUAAAAGUUGCAGCUCAUGUCCUCAUUUGUAGCUGCAAUCAUGUAGUUGAGUUCAUAGAAAAAUGGCCCAACCACCAAGUUGACUUCAAGAGGACGAGUCUUUUUCCUUUUUCUCAAAGUGUUUAUAAUAUGAGCAUUAGUUUAUUUCAUUUAUUUCUCAAUUUCAAUUUCAAUUUUUCUAAAUUUUAUUCUUAGAAGAUUCAUAUGGUUAUCGUGUUUGCUGAUAAUUGUUUUGUUUUAUUUUUUAAUUUUAGUUUCAUUUUUGUCUUUCUUCUUGGUGUGUGGCAAUGACAAUCUUGAAGAUAAUAUUUCCCUGGGUCAUGUUUGUAGCUCCUUUCUUUUGCUUCUAGUUUUUUUUCCAUUUUCUCUUUCUCAACUCAGGAACCAAACAUGACUUAAAUAUUCACCUUCAGAUUUGUUUUUACCCUCAUUGCUUGGGGAGGUUGGAGUCCUCAUUGUUUGUUUUAGUUUAGGUCUGUUAUGCAUCAUCCGAUUCCAUUAGAUGGUUGACAAUCAUUUAUUUGUUCAUAUAAUAUUAAUAACAUUGCUAAUACCAUUCAUAUUAAUAUUAAUAUUUGAUUGGCAGGAAAAUGGAUGACAACAACCCAACAAACAGGGUUUGCUUUCUUUGCCAACUCAGACCAGAUCAUCCUUAGCAGGUGAGUACUUAAAUAAAUACAUAAGCAAAAUAAUAAGUGGGUAACAUCUAUUCCCCUUAAUACUCUUUGUUGUUUUUUUUUCUUUUAAUUAAUAUAAGCACACUUAAUGUAAACAUCUAUUCCCCUAUUUGUCUUGAGACAAAUAAGAUCAAAAGAAGUUAAUAGGAAUCUAAAUAGUAAGAAAUGGAGCAAAAUUAUCGAUUAAAAAAAAUUCAUUAAUAAUCCCCCUUCAACAAUUGUGUGAUAAAAUACAAACAUUACAAUGAGGCUCCCAUGACUCUCAAAUGCAUUGCCAACCUACAUGUUUAAGGUAAAGAAAAAUGGAGCAGUUUGAAGGUGCAGUCUUUGCUGCAGCACCCGAAAAGGAGCUUGCCAUAUUUGGAGAAGAUGCAGUGAGUACAAUAAUAUUUUCCCUUUUUUAUUUGGAUGCUGAUUUCAUGGCCUUAAAUUUGAAUAGCUAGUUGGAAAGUUAAGAUCUGUACCUCGAGUUCAAUGGGGCUUGAAUGGGGUAAAAAUCAAAAAAGAAAAUGCUGCCAUGAAUGUAGAACAUAUGGUCAAAAUAUAGAAACUUGGAGGAAUUCAGUAUAAGGAAUGUGAAAAUUGAAUGAACCAUAGCUGAUUGUCAGUUUUUGUAGGACACAAAUAUACCAAGAAGAGGAAAUUGCAUCAUUAGGAUUCUUUAGCCCAUCCAUUCCAUUUGGCAUCUAGCAAAGACUACACUCCUGCUCCUACAUCGUCCACACUCCCUGCUAUUCUUGAGAAUGAAUUUUGAUUCUAAUUAGUAAUCGAAAUACAACAAAAUGGAUUUUCCAUUCUCAUUCCAUUCCAUGCUCCCACCUUCCAAAUACAACAAAUUUGUUCUUCCUUGUGGGACCUUGAAUUAUAUUGUCUUGUGAUAAACGGGCAAGUAAAAUAAAAAGCUUCGCUCAGCACUAGUUCAUAGAAGUGGGACAUAACAAAUUAGAGAGUAAGGUAAUAAAUUGCAUUGGUUUAAUUCUCAAACUAUAGGACACACAGACUCUAAAUAUCUUAGUUUGCAAUUCCUCCCAAUAUAUUUCAUAGGCCAAACAUUUUUCCUUUUUUUUUUUUAGGUAAACUUUUGCAUCGAGACUUGAAUCUGAAACCUCCCACAAACCCUAUACUAUUUGAGUCAAGCCUCAAGGGCAGGCCAAACUGCAGUAAUGACUAAGAUAGGAUUUCAGUUACAAGUCUAAGCUUACAAUUAAAUAGGGGUUUGUUCUUCUGCUCCUUCAUUGACAAACUUGUCAAUUACAUACUCAUAUCCAAUGCAAGUUGGUCUCAUUUAAAUAUAUAUGCCUAGCUUCAAUUUGGUCUCAAAAAUAAAAAUUGACCCCACUAUAAGAACAAGAGAGAAGGCUAAAACCAGCAUUGAUUUGAUGUAAAAGAAGACACCAUAGCCAACGAUUUUACAAAAUAUUGUGCAUACAAGCAAAGUUGACAUAACACCUUAUUGCGUUGAAAGUUAUUCCUCUCCCCUCCCCUGGUAGAUGAAUCAGUUUUAUUAGGUUAUUUUUCUUUGAAAAUGGUUUGUUACAAUUUCUGGUGUGUCAUCUUUAGGCUAAUGGUUCAUAAAAAAAGGUUGUAUAAGAUUUAUAACAUGAUAUAGUAUAAUGCAGCAACGAAAAUAAAGCCGUGAUAUCAAUCAACUAAGAAUAGAAUGAAAUAAUUUAGCCGUAAGACAAAUAAAAGAUCAUUUUGAACCAUCCAGAACCAAUAAUUUCAGAUACCAAGAAGUCCAAGAUAUACGGCAUCAAACCCACCUGAAAGACAAACCUCUCAUCCAUUCCCUGAACAGAAAGGAGACCUUUCAUCCGAUAUAUAUCUUCACUGCGUUCCAACAACAAUGUACCCAGCCAUAUGUUAGCCUGAAAAAAAAAAAAAAAAGGAACCAGCACAUCAGUCCAAUAUUAUCAAUAUGUUAUGUCCUGAGAUAAGUAAAAUCUGAAUUGGACAAAAUGCUCCUCGAAGGAGCUUCCAUAGAAAAGGAAUAAAUGAUUUCUCAUCAUUCACAAACUGACAUAGGUCAGGUCAAGGAUAUAAAAAAAUUGGAAUAUAAUUCUAGAUGCAGUUAUGAAGAAACUUGCAUAUAAACCGCCUGUAAAAACACUAACACCAACCUUCUCAAGGUCCAAGCUCCCUUCACAAACUAUGCUGACUGAAGAAACACCUGGGUCAUGAGUGUGAUCAUAGGAAUGGUGAUCAUUGUGUUCUGCAUGCCCAAUGUUGAAAACAUCAAUAUCACUCAUUACUAUCAUUACAAGUAUAAGAGCCAUAGAGAUUUGUUGAAUUAAGAACCCAACACUAGACCAGAUAUUCAGAAUUCUAUUUGUUCAUCCUUGUGGGACCUUGAAUUAUAUUGUCUUGUGAUAUUAAAUCGCAAGUAAAAUAAAAAGCUUCGCUCAGCACUAGUUCAUGGAUAUUAUAUCACAAAUGAAGAUUAAAAUGCAAUGGCAUCAAAAGUGAAACUUGAGUUGGGAGUUUCAUACCUUUUGUUUUAGCUGACAAGAUGUUUAGUUUUAACAUCAAAUGGAAAUUGACAAAUCAAUCACUCUACAGGAUUAGGAGCAAUGAAUUCAUCUGUCUAAUUUAUUUCUUACAUGAGCUCUGAAUAACUCCAAUAUUUUAUUUUGUUUACAAAGAAAUAUCCAUGAACUAGCCAGAAUAUGAGCAGAAAAUACAGUAAAUCUAUUUUCUCUCAGAGGUAACAUAUUUCUCAAAAUUAUAAUGCUUCAUUUGCAACCAAAAUAAUAAUAAUAAAUAAAAAAACAGCUAACAGAUGUCAAAAGUAAUUGUUGAUGUAAAAUGAAAUGACAAAUGCAAGACCUGCACCAGCUGGAAAUUACUAGUUUAUAGUAGGUGUGUAACUUGUAAUUGGAUAAAGAAACAUAGAAGUGGGACAGAACAAAUUAGAGAGUAAGGUAAUAAAUUUUGGUUGUUGUGCCAAACUGUAUAAAAGGCAUAAGCCUAAUGUGUAUUUUUAAAAAUAUUACUGUUGAGAGAGAGAGAGAGAGAAAGGAGAAAAACCUUAUUCACAUUCAUUGUAAUCUCUACUUACAAUUGAGAGAUAUAUAUAUACAAGGCUAGGAGUCCUAACUACCAUACAUGUGACCUAUAUUAACAAGGAAAGAUAGUAUACUAUACAUACAUUAUAUUCAACACUCCCCCUCAAGCUGGAGCAUAUACGUCAUAUGCACCAAGCUUGUUACAAAUAUAUUUAAUCCUAGGACCUCUGAGAGAUUUAGUGAAGAUGUCUGCUAGUUGAUCAUUUGAAUUGACAAAACUUGUAGCAACACAUCCUGAUGCGAUCUUCUCUCUAAUGAAAUGACAGUCAACUUCAAUAUGCUUGGUCCUUUCAUGAAAGACUGGAUUGGAUGCAAUAUGUAAUGCGGCCUGGUUAUCACAGAUGAGUUUCAUCUGUUCAUCCUUUCCAAAUCUCAACUCCUGAAGAAGAUGUCUCAACCAUAUGAGUUCACAUGUUGCCAAAGCCAUAGCUCGAUACUCGGCUUCAGCGCUAGAUCUGGCCACUACAUCUUGUUUCUUACUCUUCCAAGAUAUUAGAUUNNNNNNNNNNNNNNNNNNNNNNNNNNNNNNNNNNNNNNNNNNNNNNNNNNNNNNNNNNNNNNNNNNNNNNNNNNNNNNNNNNNNNNNNNNNNNNNNNNNNGGGCCUUAAGGCGAUCAACCUGACCAUCACGACCAACCUUAACUGCAUAGACCCAACGACAACCAACUGUAGAUUUACCAGAGGGUAAAACAACAAGAUCCCAAGUGCCAUUAGAGUGCAGAGCAGCCAUUUCAUCCACCAUUGCCUGUCGCCAGCCUGGAUGGGAAAGAGCUUCAUGGGUGCUCUUUGGAAGAGAAACAGAGGAUAUAGCAGAAACAAAAGCAGAAUAGGGUGAAGAUAAUCGAUGAUAACUCAAAAAAUUGUAAAUAGGAUGAGGAUUACGAGUAGAGCGAUUACCUUUCCGAACAGCAAUAGGUAAGUCAUUAGGAGAAGGCAGAGCCGGGGCAGGUGAAGCCAAAGGGAUAGGAAGUGAGUCAGCAGGUGCCUCAGGAAAAGGGAGAGGAGCAACGACACGAGGGCGACGAUGAUAAACCUGAAGUGGUCGAGGGGGCAUAGCAUCAGGUGGGGAGACAAUGGGAAUGGGCAAGACUUCAGAAACAGGAAGAGACUCAGAAGAGGUGGAAAAGAAUGGUGAGUUCUCAUAGAAGGUGACAUCAGCGGAGAUAAAGUACCGAUGAGUCUCAAGGGAAUAACAACAAUAACCCUUCUGAAGUCUGGAAUAUCCCAAGAAGAGGCACUUCAUGGCUUUGGCGAAAAGCUUGUCCUGUCCAGGAGUGAGAAUAUGAACAAAGCAAGUACAACCAAAGACACGAGGAGGAAGGAAAUAAAGUGGUUGGUCAGGGAAAAGAAGGGAGUGAGGAAUCUGAUCGUGUAAGACAGAGGAGGGCAUACGAUUAAUCAAAUAACAAGCGGUAAGAACAGCGUCCCCCCAAAAACGAAAAGGAACAUGAUUAUGGAGGAGGAGAGUACGAGCUGUCUCAACAAGAUGUCGAUUCUUGCGUUCAGCUACCCCAUUUUGUUGAGGAGUAUGAGCACAAGAAGACUGAUGAAGAAUCCCAUGAUGAGACAUAAACGAAGUAAAUUGGGCUGAAAAAUAUUCCCUGGCAUUGUCAUUGCGUAACACACGAAUAGAAAUAUUGAACUGGGUUUGGAUUUCAGUAUAAAAUUUCUGGAAAAUAGAGAAUAACUCAGCUCGAUUUUUCAUUAAGAAUAACCAAGUACAUCGAGAAUAGUCAUCAAUGAAAGUGACAAAAUACUGAAAUCCUAAAGUAGACGCAGUCCGACAAGGACCCCAAACAUCAGUGUGGACAAGCUCAAAAGGAGACUUUGCCCGAUUAUUCAAACGCUUUGGGAACGAGACACGAGUAUGUUUCCCAAGCUGACAUGACUCACACGGAAGCGACGACAAAGUGGAAAAACGAGGAACCAUCUUCUGGAACUUGGAGAGACUAGGGUGGCCCAGACGAUUGUGAAUGAGGAGAGGAGCAUCAGUGGAAAUGCAAACUGCAGGAGAUGAAUCUGAGGUGAGGUGAUAGAGGCCUUGAGACUCACGUCCUAUGCCAAUCGUCUUCCCCGUACUCCGGUCCUGCAAGGUCACAAAUUUAUCAGAAAAGGUAAUAGAGCAAUUAAGAGUACGAGUGAUUUUGCUGAUGGAAAUAAGAUUAAAAGGACAUUCAGGAGUAUAAAGGACAGAAGUGAGAGGUAGAGAAGGCAAAGGAAGGGCCAAACCAAUACCUUUAGCCACAGUUUGAGAACCAUUAGCUAAGGUAACAGUAGGUAAAUCAGAGGUAGUAGUAAUAGAGGAGAAAAGAUCCUUAUUACUAGAUAGGUGAUCAGAUGCUCCAGAAUCUAGAAUCCAGGGUCCAAGAGAAGAUGUAUGGGUAAGGCAGGCAGAGGCAUUACCAGGUUGGGCAACAGAGGCAAUAGAAGCCUGAGAUGUCUGAGAUACGGAGGAGCUCGGAGGCUGAGGCAGCGGAGAAUCAGAGGACUGGGCCAUAUGGGCAGUGCGAGGAGGUCUUCCAUGUAACUGAUAGCAACGAUCGCGAGUGUGGCCAAGUUUAUUGCAAUAGGUGCAAUGAGGACGUUGGCCUCUACCUCGGGUACCACUGCGUCCUCCUCGAGAGGUAGUUUGAGAAACUAACACAGAAGAAUCUGAAGCGCUAUCAGAUGGCAAAGUCUGAGUGGACGAGAUACGGAGGAGGCGAGCAAACACAUCAUCCAAGGACGGAACUGAUGAACUACCAAGAAUCUGAUCACGAAUAGGCUCAAGAUCCGGACGGAGGCCGAUAAGAGUAAGGACCAUGAAGAACUUGUCAAGCUGUGUUUGUUGAGCCCCAACAUCAGGAGUAAGAGGCAUCACAGUCAAGAACUGCUCCUUAAGAGAGGCAAUCUGGCCAAUAUAAGUAGAUAGAUCCAAGUCCUGUUGGCUAAGAUGGACAAUAACAGAAGCCACCUUAUAAAGACGCUGGAUAUCAUUCGUGUAUAAUCCUUUGGCCUGAGUCCAAAAUUUAAAACAAGUUUUAUAGGCCUGAAAAUGAAGAAGAAUUCGGGGAUCAACCGAUUGCCAUAAUACACUACACAACUGUGCAUCUAUCUUCCUCCACUGUACGCGGUCGACCUCAGGGAUAUCUGCCUCCUGUGUAAUCAAGUGAUCCUCAUAUCCUUGACCCAUAAACCAAAGUUCAACAGAGGCAGACCAGGAAAGAUAAUUUUCACUCCCAACUAAUUUCUCCGAAGUAAUCAUAGGAGAUCCAGAUAUGACAGAGGAAAAAAUGGAAGCUUUAGUAGUCAUAUCCACUUAUCUGGAGAAUGAAGUAUGUUUGGAUCGAAGAGAGCCCUAAUACGACUUUUGGAUUGCAGCGUGGCACCACCGAAAAAGGGAGACGGCCUCAGAUCGCGGUGUGGUACCACUAGAAAGGGAGAAGAACACUUCCCAAGGCACGUGCAGGGAUUGGAGUGGAGAAAAAGUGGUCGGAGCUUCGCCGGAAAGACUGUUUGGAGGGCCGACGGAGACAAAAAUCCCCAAAAGAGGUACGUGCAGGGCUCGGAUGGGAGAACCAGGGAGGUGGGAAGGCUGAUCGGCGUCAGGCGAAGCUGGAGGAGGAGGCGCGUCGCCAGAAAAGCUCUCACGCGCCCCCACGCGCCGGCGCGUGAGAUUCAACCGCCGGCCGGAAAAUUGCGCGUGGCCGGCGCGUGGCUGAUCUUUUGGUGCUGGUGCCUUCACAAAAGUUGGAGAUCUCCUCCAGGCGCUCCUUCUGGUAUGGUUGGUGUCGGAAAAAUAGUUCGCCGGGAAAUUUCGCCGGAAAGUUCGCCGGAAAAUUUGCCAGCGGUGAGUGGUUUCUAACGACGAUCCGACUGACCGGAAAGUAUUGGGAGAUGGGGAAGGUGACCGGAAAGAAACACGAUCACCGGAAGGUUUCCCGGAGUUGAUGACACGGAAAAUAGGAAAGAAUUAGGUUUUCUUCCUUGGCUCUGAUACCAUGUUGAGAGAGAGAGAGAGAGAAAGGAGAAAAACCUUAUUCACAUUCAUUGUAAUCUCUACUUACAAUUGAGAGAUAUAUAUAUACAAGGCUAGGAGUCCUAACUACCAUACAUGUGACCUAUAUUAACAAGGAAAGAUAGUAUACUAUACAUACAUUAUAUUCAACAAUUACAUAUCUUCAUCUUUGAGAAAUACAGGAAGCAUUUGUACAGGAAAUGGAGAGAGCAUCAAAACCAAGUAGAGAAAUAUCUUUACGAGGAUGCACACAUGUUGUUCCAUUGAAUACAAAUUUUUAUUAACUCAUCAUUUUGAUGUAGCAAGAUUGAUUAUUUUGAGGCAUUUGGGUGUGUUCCCUACCUGUGAAAACUAAUUCAUAUUUGUGUCUAUCUUAAGGUCAGAUGAGUGAUACUGCACAGUUAUAUUAACCAGAUCAUUCUAUUUUCUUUGUUUCUUGUUGGGGCAAUAGCAAAUCAUUAGCUUCAUUAGUAAUUAGAAAGUGAAGUGUUCAAACUCCCAAGAAGAACAGUACCCAACUUUGAGGUAAGAUCUCCACCAGAAUUAAACACAAUACCGAAUGGCAUGAUUUUUAAUCAUCUCCUUCUACAUAUAGAACAGCGGAGCCAUGUCACUCCCCUCACCCUCCAUUUGCAUGCAUAUGUCCUAACAAACAUGUUUUUUUUUUUUUUUUAGGUAUCCUAACAAACAUGUAUUAACUUUCAUAUAUAUUAUCCACAUGAUCUAUGUACACAUAAAAACAUAGAUCAUUAACAAUCAUUUGGUACAGAUCCUUUUUGAGAGUGGAUGUCAGGGUCAGGGGGAAAUGGAAGUAUUCCUCCAACUGCUAAUUAAUGAUUAUGCAGCAUUCAUGUUUCUAUAAAAGAGUGGCUAUUUUCUGAGGAGUUCGUCUUUUCAACCCUUUCGAGUUUGUGUGGGGAUAAAGCCCCUGGGCUUUGGCAAUAUUGUUGGGACUUAGUGAAAAGUGAGGUGAUGGGCUUUUCUUCAGAGUUCUAUAAGAUAGGCACUUUUGAAAGAAACUUAAAUGCCACUUUCAUGGCGUUAAUCCCAAAAAAGGGAGGUGCAAAGAUUUAAAAGAUUUCAAAUCAAUUAGUUUGGUAGGGGCUAUACAACUCUAGAAAAAGUUUUGGGUAAUAAACUAAAAAGGUAGUGAGAGAAAUAGUUUCAAAUUUUCAACAUGUGCUUGUAGAGGGUAGACAAAUUUUAAAUGUGAUCCUCAUAGCAAAUAAAGACAUUGACUCAAGGUUGAAAACCAUAGAGAGUGGGGUCAAAUGUAAGCUGGAUAUCAAAAAGGCUUAUGAUCAUAGCAAUCAAGGUUUCUACAAGCGAUCUUGGAAAAAAUGGGAUUUAAUCCUUAAUGAACAAGAUGGAUCAAGUGGUGCAUCUCCAUGGCUCGCUUUUUUGCAUUGAUUAAUGGAAUCCUUAUAAGAUUUUUCUAGAGUUCUAGUGUUUGAAACAAAGUAACCCUCUUUCCUCUUAUGAUUUCAUUAUGGCCAUGGAGGCACUAUUUUAUAUCGUGAAUUAAGGCAAAGGAAAGGGGCUUUAUAGCAAGGCUUUCAACUAGUGUCCCACCUAUUAUUUGUUUAUGAUACUCUUAUUCUAGUACCAAUAAGGAGUAUAUGGAGUACUUGAGCUAGGCAUUCAAGUGGUUUGAGGCAAAUUUUGGUUUAAAAAUUAAUUUGGAGAAACUUGAGUUGAUGCCAAUUAAGGGGUUACUAAUAUGGAGGACCUGGUUAGGGUUUUGGGUUGUAGAGCGGGUACUCUUCCAAAAAAUUAUUUGGGCCUUCCAUUGGGAACUCUUUCAAAUCUCCUCAAGUUUGGAAUGAAGUGGAGGAAAGAUUACAAAAACAACUCCCCAUGCAGAAGAGAUAGUACCUAUUGAAAGGAAGAAGAUAACUUUGAUAAAAAGCAUCCUAUCUAGCAUACCAAUUUACUACACUCCUUACUUUUCAUACCAAUAAAGGCAAUUCUAAGGCUGGGGCAUAUUCAAAGGGAUUUCCUUUAACGGGGAUGAGCACUUAAGAGAAAGCCACUUGCAGUUCGUGUAUUGAUCAACAUUCUGCAUAGAAAAGAAGGGUGAGGGCUUGAGUAUUAGAAGCUUGUCCAUUAAAAAGAAGAUUCUUCUUAGUACAUGGUGUUGGAGAUUCACAAUUGAAAGUGAAUCCCUUUGGAUGCUAGUGAUUACAAGAAAGCAUGGGGAGCAAAAGGGGGGAUGGUACAGUAAAAAGAGUGAAGGAAGGGAGGUUAUGGAAGACAAUCAAAAGUGAGUGGGAGGUGUUUAACAGUAAGAUUGUAUUUAGGGUGAGAAAUGAUUGAAGGGUAAAAUUUUAGAAGGAUAGGUGGUGUGGUGACAAAUCCUUAGGAGAGGCUUUUCCUGCAUUAUUUUCAAUAGUCACUGCUAAAGAUGCAUGAGUAGCCAAGGUAUGAGAGCAGAAUGUGGAGAAAGAUUGUUGGAACCCCAAGUUCACAAGACAUUCACAAUAAGGAGUUGGGUGAGGUGGAGGCUUUUUUUUUUAGAAGUACAAGCGCAAAUGACAUUGGGGAUAUAGAGAAUAAUAUGAUCUGGGAAAUUCACAAUUAAAUAUCUAUAUUCUUCCUUAUCAAAGGGCAUAACAGAGGCAUAAAGGUUUGCAAAAAUAUAACAGGAACAGGAAACCAUCAUUCACAUGCAUUAAAAGCAGUAAGAAAACUAUUAUAAAUCAUUAUUGCUACAAAACAACACGACUGAAAUCAAGAAGCCAAAACUGGAUGACAUGCAAGAACAAACAUCUUUUGCCUGUAUACUGAAAAAAUAUUUAGAGUUACCAUGUCCGUGGUCAUGUUCAUGAUGAUGAUGAUGAUGAUGGUAAUCAUGGUCAUGAUCAUGAUUGUGGCCGUGAGUCACAUGAUCUUCCUUUACAUCUUCUGGAUUGACAGCACUCUCAAUCCUAGCAAGGUUCCAACAGAUGUUUGCUUACAACCCCAAAUCACAAAAAGAUGCCCAAAAAGCCAGAAAGAUAGCAAAGUCUUCAUGAAGCCAAACAAUGAAGUACUCCAUCUGUCAAGAGCAUAGAACUGUUUCUUCUUUGUUGUUUCAUUGUCUCUUUUUCAUGGGCAGUAAAUCCUAAUGCAGAAGGUAAAUAAAGGAGGCCAUAAGUAGACACAGAAAAGAUAAACAAAACGAAAACAAGCACACAAACAAACAAACACUGACACCAGCAGAGGAACUAAAAUAAAACAGUAAAAUGUGAGGUCAAGCUGCUUCUGCACAGAACAGGCCAGAAAUAAAAACCUAAAAGGGAACUCUGUGGGCUACUGAUGAGGAUGAGAUCCAUAGCAAUAAGGAUUUGACUAGGCAAUCCUUCUGCUUUGGUAGACACAAGUGAGCCCAUUGGAUAUAGUUGUCCAAGAGAGACGUGUUUUUGUUCCUUUCAAGCUCCCACCCCUGCCCAACAGCUUUUACCUUCUAGAGAUCGGCACAAAACUAUUCUGAGGAACAGAGUAACUAGAGUCUGCAUCCAUCUGCCAAAUACAUUGUAGAUGAAAACGACGUUAACCAACCUCACUUCUCACCAUAAUGCACAAAUUUUAGAUGACAAGCAUCCCCUUUACCUUGCAGAAGGUUUGGUCAGCAUCAACUAUAAAAUCAAAGUGACAAGAUGAUGCAAUACCUUAACCCUAAUUUCUGGAUUUCACGGUUAAUUAAUUACUUUGGGUUAUGCUAAUAAUGAAGAAUGUGCGUACUAUGUAACUACGGGGCCAUAAAGAAGGGGUUAUUUCUACCCUGAAUUAUUCAACGUUAUCACAGAAAUUCUCUUAGAUCAAGGCUAAGAAUAAAUUCAAUAAAACUCAAGAGGUACUUUGGCAAAUCUGUAGGAAUGUAUAGAAAACCUAAAAUGAGCUUAAGCAAAAAUAGGGUCUUUAACCUCCUUAAAGACAAUUGUUCUGUGGAGAGAGAAAGAGAGAGAGGGAGAGACAGACAGACAGACAGAGAGAACGCUUUCAUAAAUCUGUUCAGAAAAAGAGAACUCUAUUUCCUUGAGCAUUCCCAAAGGAAUUUGAGACAUGGUAAGUAAACUAAUUCCUUCUUCAUAAUCCAGAGAUCUAGAGGUCUUGGGUGGAUGAAAGCAACCAUAGAAAAAGGUAGGAAACUCAUAUGUCUAAAACGUAAGAAAAUAAGUUGUAUUCAGUCCCUAGACAUAGGCCUCAAAUCAUUUAUUCAGUGUUAAUCCAUGUUAAUAAGACACCAAAAUCUUUAGAUAUAUAUGUGAGAUGAAAAUAACUUGAUUUUGAACACAUAGGACAAGAAAUCAGAUUCUUGGAAUUGUAAUUUGUUUGGUGAUCUAGAAUUUUGUCCAGUUCGAUUGAAUGGGAUGAUGACCUGAUAUCAAGGCAGAAUUUCAAUAGAUUGAACCAAUGCCUCGAUUAAUCGACAUGGAAAAAAUCCACCAUUACCAAAAUGAGUACCUGAGAUCAGAAAUUGUGAAAGCAUUUGUGAACUAAAUUAAUUGUGUCUAACUUUAAGGGAAGGGUCGCCCAGAGAUAAAAGAAAAGAGUCAACUACAGUGAAGGGUAAGGGGUUAUAGUAUAGCUUGUUAUUUUGGUAAGAACUUUUCUUUGAGAACCCUGUGAAGGAAAUCAUAUAGUUUAGCCCAUUUUAUUACAUAUGGACUUUUAAUAACGCUGAAAAUGUACAACAAGCUACUUCUUUGAGUAUGCAUUCUUGGUUUCUGAGAAAAUGUUUAUUUGAACAAAUAGUGUCAGAAUCACUUGAAUGUGCUGUGUGGAUUACUUGUUUCACUUUAAUGGGCGAGGGGAGAAAGGGGCAAGCUGCCGACCUUUACAUCUCUUAAUGGGGGUUACCAUACAUUGUGCCUAACCAAUAGGUGGUAAAUUAUUGACCUAAGGCACCAUGCCAUGAUCCGUUCAGGCACCAUUUGUUAUCAAACACUAAGCUAGCUACACUAUUUGGCCCUAGCCAACAAGAUGCUAUUUUCUUGGCCUUUUACAUCUGUUAGGACUCGAUGAAUUGUAGUUAAGACCUUUUUAUGGGUAUCUGUCUUAAAAACUCGAGAAUUUGAGAAAACAUGAUUUUUGGAAUUAUAUGAACUUUAAACUCAAUGAGAAUUUGUUAAAUUGCCAAAAUGCCUGUGACAUAUGCUUUGAAAAUCUUAUGUCUGGCUAACAGGUUCUACUUCUACAAAAGGGCAUGUCUUACUUUAGACACAAUUUUUUUUUUAUAGGUAAUCAAAAUCAAUUAAUAAAAAGUAACACCAGAGAAAGCGCUCCAAAGUACAUAGGAAGUAUACUAAAAAACACCUCAAAGUAACACAAAAACAUAAAAAAAACAUCAACAACAACCCCCUUAGCCCGAACCCAUACACUCCACAAAAUCUACAAAGGAAUGAGACCUAAGAACUAUGUGCAUCUUGCACCAAGCCCAAAGAUUACAAGCAAAUGAGGAUUUCAACCCUUGAAUUGACCAACCCUCACUAUCAAACAUCCUACUAUUUCUUUCAUUCCAAACAGUCCAAAAAAGGUAUAAAGGAGCAACCCACCACGUCUUCUUCCUUUUCUUUCCCACGAAAGAACCCUACCAUCCUAACAAUGCCUCUCUAACCGAUGAGAGGAGCACUCAUGCCACACCAAAAAGGGAGAACAAAAGAUGUCAUAAAACUCUUGUUUUAGCACAAUGAAGGAGAAUAUGAUUCACGGAUUCUUCCUCUUUAAGGCAAAGAAAACAUCUAUUCGCCAAAUACCACCCUCUCCUUUGAAUAUGAUCUAGAUUUAGAACCUUCCUCCAAGUAGCUUCCCAAGCAAAAAAGACCACCCUCGGUGGCACCCAUGAGAUCAAUCACCUUUGUUAGGAAAACGCUCUGUCUUCCUAGCUCCCACGCCCUGAAUAAGGAUUUGACAGAGAAAGUCCCAUCCUUGGACUCAGUCCACAUAAUAUCAUCCUCUUUGUCCUUGGACACCCUCCUCCCAUGCAAUCUCAGAAGGAAAUGCUCCAAGCUCUCCAUCUCCCAGUCAUCAAAAUGCCUAAAAAAGUAAGGAGCACAACACCCUCCCUCAGAAGAAUGACUCCAAACCAACUCUACCCACACCUCCUUGGAAGAAGCUACAACAAAUAAAGAAGGAAAAGAGAUGCACAAAGGCUCAUCACCAUACCACUUGUCCUUCCAAAACCUCACCUUUCUACUAUCCCCCACCAAAAAGGAAACUUUGUAGCUUAACACAUCCCCCUCCUUUUUAAUGGCUUUCCACAACCCUACCCCGUAUACUUCCCUCACCUAUUAGAUUAUUUUAGAGACACCAUCUUGAAUUGUUGUUUGCUCUACCCUAUUGGAUUAUUGUUUGUAACAUGGGUUGCGAGCCCACCCCUGAAAUUAUUUUGUAGUAAAGAGCAAUCGGGCAAGAAGUGAUAUGAUGAGGAGUUAGGGUUGGUCACUGAGCGGGCUUCUAUGAUAGGACUUGGGAGCUGCUCAUAAAAAGGAUUUGUGCUACCCAUAAUUUUGAUUUUGGGAUGUCUAUAUUAGUAAUUGGAUUCUAGAACUUUCAGAGGUGGACUUAUGAUAUUAGUUGUUGAUGUUAAUUCUGAACUCUCAACUAUCUUGUUUAUCCAUGAAAUGAAUAAUAAAUAGCAUAAAAUAAAAGGUGUGUCGUCCUUGCAAAAAUGCCUUGGGUAUCAAGUGACACUUGCUUAUAAGCACCUUGCUUGAGGCAACACAAAGCAUUUCACACACACCUCCCUGUACCCUGGGCUUUUUUUGCUCCUAGACUUUCUUUUAACAACUACAGAUUUCAUGCAUUACUAAAGGAGGAAAUCAAAUGGAAGCACAAAAGCGUAUUAAGAAAAAUGAAACACAAAGAAAUGGAAAAAAAAAAAAGGGGAGAGGGGGAGGAGGAGAAGGAGGAGGAGGAGGAGGAGAACAAACUAAAGCUAUCAAUGUAAAACAACUAAGCAUAUCACCAGUAGCAUGUAAAUAGAUAACGCACAAAUCAAAGAUAAAUUUUUUUAUCAGAAGUGGCUAGAAAUGAAAAUACACUAAAUCAACCGCAACCUAAUAAAUAAGUUAGCUUAUAGACAAUGGAAAUGUUUACGCCCUACAACAAAGGGAAGAUAGAGAAAUAACCUCUCCAAAUCAAAGCCUCCUACUCCAAGUACAUAAUCCAAGUCAACUUUUCCAAACCCUGUCCGCUUGAGAUAAGCCAUACGAUUUAUAUUCUACUUUCAGCAAAAGUACCACACCACAGUUCAACACAUCCAAAAUGAAACAGUAAGAAAAAUGAAAUCCAUCCAAACAAGAUUCAUGAGUAUAAUACCCGGAGAAAUCCAACACAUUCAGUUAGUCAAAAUGCUACAUAUCUAUAAAGGAAAAGCAUUGACAACUCUAUCAUAUGCCUUAAGACUUUGGUGAUAUUUUCUGGCCUAUCAAAAAAAUAAAAAACAUAUGCCUUAAGACUUCAUGAUGUAGAACACGAAGUAUAAGGAAUAAAGUCAAAUUGGGUGGGUUCUUGGUGAAGGAAAGGGUGGUUGUUUUUGGUUGUUCUCUCCCUUUAAAGUUGUGCCUUUUGGCACCCUUUCUAUACAUCUUGUAUAUCUUGGUGUAUAGCAUCGUCAUUUGAUAUUUAUACUAUUUACCUUUUCACUUAUUAAAAAAAUGGAUAGAAAAAAGUUUAGUUGUCUUAAAAUUAUCGUCGUGGUUUUAUAUCAUACAAAGAUUAUGCAAGGCAUUAUGAUUGUAAAGGAAGGAAAUCCCUUUCAUCGCACCAAACAUAGAGAUAACAUGGAGCAAAAUGGAUAGGAAGAGAGAUUAGCAUCUGCAGUUGGGGAUUGAUGGUGUUCUAAGGGAUCAUAAUGGCUAAGAGGUUAAAGCCUUCUUUAGACCUACAACAAUGAGGUUAGCCAUAAAAGAACAAACCCUUGCAUUGUUGAAAAGCUUGCUUCAAGCAAGAUCUAUAUGCUGAACUACUGCCAUCAAAGAAGGGUGUCAUGCCAACCCAAGCAGAGUAGACCCAUAACAAACAUGAUCAACAACCGCCCUAGAUGCCCUUAGACUUCAUUCUUCAAGUAAAUUCAUGAUUACUAAUAACUUGAUUGAAGGUGAUUCAUCAAUUCUUAUAAUGUGGGCAUCACACAGAAAUAGAGAUCCAUGUGAGUUCAAUGGUUGGUUCUGCAAAAUUAUCAAUGUCAAUACUAGUUUGAAUAGCUAUUUUUCUAGGAUCUCAUUUGGCUAAUUAGUUGCGAAUCAAUUGGUCAAAUAAGGACAAAGACAAUUAGAGUUCUUUGAAGAGGAUGUUAUGCCACCACGAGGUGUAUGCUCUUUAGCUUUUAUAACAGUUGCUUCUUUUUUGCUUUUAUAAUCCUUCUUUAGCUUCUUGAAGGAACCCUCAUCCUCCUUUUACUUUCAAAUUCGUAAUGAAUUACCAUUUGAAUAGUUGUUGCUGACUAAUAAAAAAAGGAUUAUAGGAUUGGGCAAGUUUGGAGAAUUAUUUAAGAGGAAACCCGAUUAACAAGAGAAAUGUAUUGUUUAUGAAGCUUAAGAAGAUAAUUGAGAAGCUCUCAUAAAAUAAAAAACCGAAGAGAAUUGAGAAGCAACACAAUUUCAAAAUUAGCACAUGGAAUGAAAUGCACGAAGACAAAUAUGAUGAUGCAAUUCUAGGCGCUAGAUCAUAUGAUGGAGUUAUAAGAAUUUCCAUUCAUACAAAUAAAGAGGCAUGAAAGCAGUGGAGCAAACCUCUAAGUUUGAUUAUCUUUUUAUAUAGUUUGGUUUAAUGAAGUAAUGAAUAAAUGGCAUCUUACUACCAACGGGUCCCAAUCCAACCAUUUGAGAUGAAAUGGGGUGGUUCAUGUCAACCUAGAAGAUACUUGAGAAUAUGCAUUGAUGGCAAAAAACAAAAAAUAAAGGGUUUGAAGUUCAGUGAAAGAAAGCCAUAUCUGGAAACCUAAAUGAUGAGUCAGAGACUAAUAAAAGUGUUGUUCAGUGAAAACAAAAUCAAUUGGGGACUGUCAUCAGUGACAUGAAUAUUGAUGUUGAUUAGGAGUGGAAAAUGGAAGGAAAUAACAAGCUUGGAAUGUCAAACAACACUACUUCAAGUUCCUUACAACAAAGUAGCAAAUUAUAGAUUUGAUCAUUUGCUUGUGCAAAAAAGGAAGACACUACUUACCCAUGUCCACAACAAAGGGAGACAUAAAUACAAUUUUUAAGAUGAAGAUAAGGAACAAUGACGGGCCAACGUAAUGAAUAUCAUAAUGAAUAGGACAAAACGAUAUUCUUCCAGUGCAAGGGGAAUCAUUGGCUUUGCAAUGAGCAACGAAAUACUGAAGGUUUAGGAAAGUUAGAGAAGACAAUUCUUUUUGUGCUGGAGUCUUUUGUCAUAGUAAGAUGUGUAAUAUUAUUCUUGAUGUCAGUAGCAGCCAGAACACUGUUUCAGUGAAGGUUGUUAAAAAGUUGAGGUUAUCCAUUUAAAAGCAUCCUAAUCUUUAUAAGGUUGCAUAAUUUCAAAAUGGAAAUAAAGCACCCUACUUCUUUUCAUCCGGUUACAUUUACUAGGUGAUAAUAUAGAUUUAUUUUUAUUAUUUUUAUUUUAUAGGCAAAAGAGCAAUAGGUAUAUUAAAGACCCAAAAAAGGCUACACCAAGUACACAGGAAAUAUACAUGUGAAUACCAAAUAAAAAAACACAAAAACCCUCCUCUUAUUGAUAAAAUCAAUCGUAGAGAAUGACUCUUGCCCUAAACCCCCUUUGGUCCAUUCUAAAAAGUUACAUAGAAAAUAGAAUUUUAGCUCUAGAUCUAAAAACUCAUUAUCAAAAACCCUUCCAUUUCACUCUUUCCAAAUAAUCCAAAACAAAUAAAGAGGAGCAACAUUCCACGCCUUAUUUCUCCUCUUCCUAAUGGAUCCAGCUAUGCUAACUAAGUAGCAUUGCUUGGAUUGAGGUAUGCAACACCUAAACCAUUCCAAACAAGGAGAUGACCAAUUGCUAUCACAAAUUUGCCUUAGAACAAUGAAGAAUGAUGUGAUUGCAAGAUUUCUCCUCGCCUUUGCAUAGAAAACAUCUGUUCACCAAAGUCCAACUUCUCUUCUUCGAGUUGUCCUUAGUUAGAAUCCCUUUCCAAGUUGCUUCCCUAAAAAUAAUCACUUUUAUUAGAGCCCAAGAAUUCCAAAUAAGCCUUGCAUAGAAACAAUCUAAACCCCUUUAAACCAUCUUAUCAUAGAAAGAUUUAACUGAAAACUAGCCUCCCUUAGUAGUCAUAUACACCACUUUCUCAUCCACCUCCCUACUCACUGAUUUACCAUGCAAACACAGAAGGAGUGCUUCAACACAACCUAACUCCCAAUCUUGGAAAUUUCUUACAAAAUGGGGGUUCCAACACCCCUAAAUUUAGUUUGUUCUUAAUCAUCACAUACCCAAGCCUCCUUUGAAGUGGCUAUAGUGAACAAAAAGGGGAAAGAGGUCCUCAAAUGGUGUCCCCACACCAAAUGUCCUUCCAAAAUCUUACCAUUCUUCUAUUGCCCAAAACAUAGGAAAUCUUACUUUUGAAAACAUCUCAUCAUUUCCUUAUAGCCUUCCUCAAUCCUACGCAAAGUUGUGAAAGGCGCACCUAGGCUCCAAACGGUGCGACGUGACCCUCCGGUUGUAUCACCUAAAGGCAGGCAACACCCUCUUCAUGAAAGCACCGCUUAGGCGCACAGGGUGCUCGCCUCCGGCAAGGCACGACGCGGUCCACUAUCUCUUUCUUCUUCUUCUUCUUUUUCUUUGAUUUUCUUCUCUGACGACGAGUUGUAGAUGGUAGAAGAGAAGCCCUUUUUUUUUAGACCAAAAUGACGUUGUUUGGUCUGUUCUUUUAAAAGAAUAAGGUCCAAAAUGACGUUGUUUUGGUCCUUGUUGUCUUAAAAAAAAAAAAAAAAACCAAAACGGCAUCGCUUUGGCUCCUUUUAUUUUAAAAAGAACAGGCCAAAACAAUGAUGUUUUGGAGCCUAUUAUUUUAAAAUAAAAAAAAAAUUAAAAACAGGCCAAAACGACGUUGUUUUGGCCUUGUUUUUUCAUUCCAACCCCCUUUUCUGGUUGUUUUCAACCCAACAACACCCUUAAAAUUUGCCUUAGCCUCUACUGUGCUAUGAAUAAGUGAAGAAGACGAAGAAGAUGAGGAAAAAUAGAGGAAAAUAUGAGAAAAUGAGGAAAAAUAAAUGUACCGUUCCAAGACCUUGGUAUUUUUCUCUUUUCUUCACUUUUCUGUAUUUUUUUUUCCGUUCUUGUAUCAUAACUCUCAUUGACAUUUCUUUUUUUAAAUAAAUAUUUUAUUUUGACAUGAAAAGUUUACUAAAUAAAAAUAAACAAAUAAAAAACACUUUCAUGUGUUUAUUUUUUGUUAAUAUGAUAUGCAUAUUUAUUUUUUUUUAUUUUUCAAUUUUUUAUUUUCUUAAUUUAAUUAUAAUUAUUUUAUUAUAGUAUAGAUAAUUUGUUUGCAAGAUGGAUAAUGAGAGUAAAACUCAAUUGGACUCUAGUGCAAGUGGAAGAAGAGAUUUCGGAUGGAAGUAUGCUCGUUUGCUUAAUGAAAAAGAUUUGAACACCAUCAUAUUCAUUUUUUGUGAUAAAGUAACCAAAUGAGGCAUAUAUAGACACAAACAACAUCAUGUUGGUGGAUAUAGAAAUGGUAAAAAGUGUAGAAAAUGUUCGAAACAUGUUAGAGAAUAAAUGGAAGGGGAAAUGAAUACGGGGAGCGAAAAUGUUAAUGAAGAUUUGUUUGGCUAGGAAGAUGAAGACUUUGGUGAGGAGAUUAGUAGUAGAAUGUGAUUAUUGGUGCACAAGAAGCAGGUAAUUACUAAUUUUUGAAUUGUUAUAUUGUUUGAGACUUUUAGUAAGUAUAGUCUUUUGUCACAUGUUUUAAAUAUUUGUUAUAUAUGAAUUGCAAGAAUGGGAAUUGAACCUCCAUCUCCAUAUGAAAUAAAGAACAAGUACUUGGAAAUGGACUACAAAGAAACGGAAGCCUAUGUGAACCAACAAAAAGAAAAAUGGAAGACAUAUGGGUGCACAAUAAUGUUAGAUGGGUGGACAAGGCCCAUGAAAUCAAGUAUUAUUAAUUUCAUGGUUUAUUCAAAAGGGACCACGGUGUUCCUUAAGUCAGUUGAUGCAUCGAACAAUAUCAAAGACCACAAGUAUAUAUAUGAGCUAUUGAAGACUGUUAUUAAAGAAGUCGGUCAAGAAAAUGUGGUCCAAAUUGUCACAGAUAACGGGUCGGCGUUUGUGAAAGCAGGGAAACUAUUGAUGAAGAAGUUUAACUUAUAUUGGACUCCGUGUGCGGCAUACUGCAUCAACUUAAUCUUUGAAGACAUUGGUAAAAGACCCAGUGUUACAAAUAUGAUAAACAAUGCUCACAAGAUAACUAACUUCAUUUACAACCAUAGUUGGUUACUUGCACAAAUGAGAAAGUAUUGUGGUGGAGACAUUGUUCGACAAAGAGCUACAAGGUUUGCUACCAAUUAUAUUGCUCUUGAUAAUCUUCUUAAAAAAAUGGUUGAUUUGAAAAAAUUGUUUAUAAGUGAUGAAUGGGCACAACACAAGCUCAAUCAGACAAAAAUUGGACGAAAUUUAGAGCAAUUAUUGUUUGACCAUGCGUAUUGGGACAGAGUGGCAAAUAUAGUUUCAUUAUAUGAGCCAUUAUACGUGGUGCUUCGACUUAUGGAUUCUGAAGUUGUUACCAUAAUGUUGUUUGUGUACGAGCUUAUGCAAGUGAUGAAAGAGAACCUUAUUCGUCAAGGAGCUAGAGAUUGGAUUUUCAAAAUAAUAAAAGAUCAUUGGGAGAAAAUACUAAAACAUCCACUUCAUGUAGCAGGUACUUAAGUACUAUCUAUCUUUAUAAGUUUUUACUCUGUAUUUAAUUUUCUUUAACAAAAUACUAAAUCUAAUUAAUUUUAUUGUAGCAUACUUCUUGAAUCCAAUAUUUCAAUAUAGACGUGGAGUUGGUAGUGAUCCAAAACUACUUCAAGCGGUUUAUGACGUUUUUGCAAAAUUAAACCCAACUACCGAAUCUCUUGGUCAAUGUGGAAAUGAGGUAAAUAGAAAACUGUUAUUUUUGUCAAUAAAACAAUAAUUUCAUUCACCAAUUUAUUUGAACGUUUACUAACAAAUAUGAUAUUAACAAAUUAAAUGUUGAAUAUAUAACUUGUGCUUUUUUGAGAUGCAAAAACAAGAUUCGGUAGUCCAGCGACAAUUGUAGCAAGGUCAACCAUGGUGCCCAUUGAGUAUUUAUAGGAAAAAUUGAUUAUCAUUAUUGCAAAUUCACCACAUAAGUAUUUAUAUAAUUAUGAAAUUGGUUGCAACUAAAUGGUGGUUCAUGUAUGGGAAUUAAAUACCUACAUUGAGAAAGUUAGUCAUCAAAGUUCUCUCACAAACUAUGUCAUCUUCUACUUGUGAGAAAAAUUGGAGCAUGUUUGCUCUCAUCCACACAAAGCAACGAAAUCAUUUGGCUUACCCUCGACUGGAGCAAUUAGUUUUUUGUUACUAUAAUAUGAGGCUAAAGUUACGCGAUAUGGAGGCAGAAAAUGAUCGAGUUGCUAAAAAAUAUUACUUUGAUCUUCUUGACAUUUCAACCAAGGUGGGUGAAGAAUAAGAUAAUUAGUUGUUCCAAUGGGUUAGGCCUAUAACACUUGGAUGAUGAUGUUGGAAAUCUUGAUCCACGAAUUGCCUCUCAUGCUCGAGAAUUUAAAGUUAAUGUUGAAUGUGUGUUAUCCAAAGAAGUUCACUUUGAAAGUUUUAGCAAAAAUACUGAGGAUUCAUUUUAGGCGGCAUUGAAUUCCCAUUAAGAGGUUGACUCCACAAGUGUUGGCCAUAAUAGUAGACCUAGUGUUGCAGGUACUUCUGCUUUUAGUUACGAUGGUUCAAGAGGUGGAACUGAUGAUUGAGGUGAUAAUGCGGGAGGAGAUAUCUAGGAAAGUCAACAAAGUCAAUAUCCAAUGAGUCAAUUUACCUAUGAAAAUGAUUUCACAUACUGCACACAUGAUGAAGACCAUGGCUCUAGAAGAGUUGGUCUAGGCAUAGGAGCUAUUAGGAAGCCCUAUAGAGGAAGAGAACGAAUAAUGGAACCAUAUAACUAGGAGUUACUUUCAAGGAGUUUUGAAUCUAUGAGUGUAGGGACUUAAUUUAGUGACUCCUCAAAUGAGGCUAACGUCUACCCUCCUCAUGUGAUGAGUUAUGGUCAACCUUCAAGUUCAACCGAUGAAGAGUAUGGUAUGUUGAGUUACUCCCCUUCCGCACAAAUGUCAUACCAAGUUUCAUAUUAUAUGGAAGGAGGAUUUGACAUUAACACAUGGAUGAACCUUGAGUAUCCUAUCCAUGUAAAGGCAGUGGGCAUGACUCAAUAGAUAUAUGCAUGGCAUGUUAGAAUUUUUAACCAAUAUUAUCAAGGCUCAUUGAGUUGGUACCAAUAUUGUCUCAAACAGCAAGACGAGGUUUCUUCAUCUACCAAUUCCAUUGAACCAUAUCGAUCCUCAUUUUGGUACUAAAGGGACAUUACAAUGUAAUGUGUACAAAUUAUUGAUAUUUAAUGAAAUGAAGUAUUUUAUGUAACUUUAUAAUGAGUGUACAAUUACAAAAUUAACAUUUCUUGUAGAUCGACAUAUAUAAUUACAUCUAAUAUCGCAAAUUAUAUCAUACAUAUAUCAAAUUCUUCAAUAAAACAACUUUAAAAUGUCUAUUAUACUUCUAAUUACAUUGUUAUGAGGUUUUUCUUGUAUUUCCAUGAGUUUUUAACAAUUUUAGGUCUACCGAAAGGCUUUUCCCAAAAUAUUUGCUGAUAUAUUCGUAAAAUCGAAGUAUCGAUAUAUCCGUGACUAUCGAUAUUUUUAUCCUUGAACCACACACACGAGUGGAAAUAAAGAAAAGACGAUAUUUUUAAUGUUAUUCAGUGAUCAAUGUGAUUCUUAUAUAUACAAAGUGUACUAACACUUAAGAAUACAAUAAUCAAAUACAAUAGGAGCAAACUCGUCAUUCAAAAAAAAGAAAAAAAAAAGGAAUCCAAGGGGUGUUGCCCCCUUAAAAUAAACAAAAAAAUGUUAUUAUCUUAACCUAUCUUAAAAAAAAUGGUGAGAACUUGUAUAGAAGUACAAAUUUACAUAAUUUUUAAUUCAUUUAGGAUUCAGGAAAAAGAAAUAUAAAAUAAAUUACUAUAUACUUCCAAUUAAAGCUCUAUAAAUCACUCUAAGUUCCAAAUAUGGACAGAUAUCCAAGUUUGAUUAACUACCUAUUAUGUAAAGAAAAAAGUAAAGUAGGACAACAAAAAAUGCUCUGAACUUCUUAAUAAUGGAAGUCCAGAACUGAAUUGUGAGAUGUAAGAGUUUAGGUAUCAACAAACUCAUUUUCUUUAUAUUACUAAUCAUUUUGUUCUUCUACCUCUUUUUCCUUAUUUCAUAUAUAUAUAGUUUAUACGCAAAUGUUCUUUGUAAAUUAUAGGGGGGAUGGAAAAUGCUAGAGAAGGGAAAAGAGUGGUAAAUUAUUUUUUUUUCUCUUGACAUGUGAAUUACUAUUUUUAAAUUAGUAGCAUUUCUUAUUAAUUUGAUGGACUGUGUUUUGCUUAACUGUUGCACUAAUAAGUUGCUCCUUACUUGUGAAAAGUGAAUUGUACAUAUUUAAUAAGAACAAUGAAUUAUUUUAUUAAAUUUAUCAACCAUGGUGAAUGGAGACUUGGAACCAAUUACUAAUUAGUCUCAUUGUAAGGAGCCAUAAGUAAUUAAAUUAAGGCUAUAUCAAAGCUGAAUAUUCACUUGAAGAUAAAUAUAUGUGUAUGUUUUGAAGAAGGUUUUGUUGCCUUCUAAUGGCGAACCAAAUAACUCUGGUUAUGUUGCUCCAAUGUCACAAUCACAUACAGUAUCAAAAACAGAGUUCUUUAGCUGACUAUUCAGAAGUAAUGAAAACUUUUUCAAAAUAUAUAUAUAUUGAUAUAUAUAGUGUUGUUUGUUGAUACAUUAGCGUGAUUUUUUUAAUAUUUUAUUUUUAUUAAAUAUUAAAAGAUAAAAAAUUAAUAUAUUUCUUUUUUAAAAAUUAAAUAUUUUAAUUUUUUCAUUCAAUAAAAAAUUUAUAAUAAAUCAUAAAAAAAAUUAAAAAAUAAACCACCUAAAUAUAGAGACAGGAUUGUUGAAGGAAAGGUUGAAAAAAAUAGUUAUACCUUUGACUUUUUGGUGUCUCACUUCUCAUAAUUAUGGUGGCUACUUUAUAAGAAUAAACUGAUUGGUAGAUAGAUGAAAUAGUUACAUAAUAUUUAAAAUAUUUACAUAAUAUUCCAAAAUAAGGCAAAAAAACUGAGGUCAGUGGGGCAUGUGACAUGUCAUCGGUAGAGCCGCGUCAAAAAUUUAAUAUAGAAGGAAAAUUUAAGUAUGGUGCCCCACCACCGUCCUACAAAAGUAUAGACCAUAAUUAAAGUAUUGAACUCACUAAACCUGCAGAUCGUACCUCUUCAUCUCACUCGCCUUUAUUCAUCCUCCAUUCCUCUUCAUUCAUCAAUCCCACCUUCUUCACCCUCCCCAUGGCUGAUACCCUCGUUUCUAUUGUGCUGGAACGCUUAACUUCGGUUGUUGAACAGCAGAUUCAUGAACAAGUUUCUCUGGUUCCGGGUGUUGAAUCAGAAAUUCGAAGUCUCAAAAGCACACUCCGCUCCGUCCGAGAUGUUCUUGAAGAUGCCGAGAGGAGAAAAGUGAAGGAAAAAUCUGUCCAAGGUUGGUUGGAGAGGCUCAAAGACAUGGCCUACGAAAUGAUGGACGUGCUGGAUGAGUGGAGCAUUGCUAUUUUUCAAUUCCAGAUGGAGGGAGUUGAAAAUGCUUCCACGUCUAAGACGAAGGUAAGCUUCUGUAUGCCCUCCCCCUUCAUCCGUUUCAAGCAAGUUGCAAGUGAACGGACCGAUUUUAAUUUUGUCUCUAGUAGGAGUGAGGAGCGACCACAGCGACUUAUAACUACCUCUGCAAUUGAUAUUUCAGAGGUGUACGGUCGGGAUAUGGAUGAAAAAAUCAUAUUAGACCAUUUGUUGGGUAAGAUGCGUCAAGGGAAAUCUGGCCUCUACAUCGUGUCCAUAUUUGGGACGGGAGGCAUGGGCAAAACAACUCUUGCUCGACUAGCCUACAACCACCGAAAGGUGAAGACCCAUUUUGAUGAAAGAAUAUGGGUCUGUGUCUCUGAUCCUUUUGAGCCAGCCAGAAUUUUUAGGGAUAUUGUUGAAAUCAUCCAGAAAGCGUCUCCUAAUCUCCACAAUUUGGAAGCUUUACAACAAAAAGUUCAAACGUGUGUCUCUGGAAAGACGUUCCUUCUUGUGCUAGAUGAUGUGUGGACUGAAGACAAUCAAUUGUGGGAACAACUGAAGAACACCCUCCACUGCGGAGCAGCAGGGAGUAGAAUUCUGGCGACCACACGCAAAGAGAGUGUUGUUAAGAUGAUGAGAACUACGUACAAGCAUCCCUUGGGGGAGCUGUCUUUGGAGCAAUCUCGGGCAUUAUUCCAUCAAAUAGCUUUUUCUGAAAGGGAGAAAGAGGAAGAAUUAAAAGAAAUUGGUGAGAAAAUAGCAGACAAAUGCAAGGGCUUGCCCCUCGCUAUAAAAACUUUAGGGAACCUCUUGCGCAUAAAAAAUAGCGAGGAAGAAUGGAAGUACGUAUUGAAUAGUGAAGUAUGGCAGCUAGAUGAGUUUGAGAGAGAUAUUUCCCCUGCUUUGUUGUUGAGUUAUUAUGAUCUGCCCCCUGCAAUUCAACGCUGCUUCUCAUUUUGUGCUGUUUUUCCAAAAGCCUCUGUUAUUGAGAGAGAUGAGCUGAUCAAGUUGUGGAUGGCACAAAGCUAUCUCAAAUCUGAUGGGAGUAAAGAGAUGGAGAUGAUUGGGAGAACGUACUUUGAAUAUUUAGCUGCUCGGUCUUUCUUCCAAGAUUUUGAAAAAGAUACUGAUGGUAAUAUAAUACGUUGUAAGAUGCAUGAUAUAGUGCAUGAUUUUGCUCAAUUUUUGACUCAGAAUGAAUGCUUUAUUGUGGAGGUUGACAACCAACAAAUGGAGAGCAUAGAUUUAUCCUUCAAAAAGAUUCGUCAUAUCACCUUAGUUGUCCGAGAGAGUACCCCUAAUUUUGUCUCCACUUAUAACAUGAAGAAUCUACACACCCUCUUGGCUAAGGAAGCAUUCAAGUCAAGUGUUCUUGUAGCCUUACCUAAUUUGUUAAGGCAUUUGACAUGUCUCAGGGCAUUGGAUUUGAGCAGCAAUCAGUUGAUUGAGGAACUUCCUAAGGAGGUAGGAAAAUUGAUACAUUUAAGAUUCCUUAAUCUAUCAGGGUGUUUUUGGUUGAGAGAGUUGCCUGAAACAAUUUGUGAUUUAUAUAAUUUGCAAACCUUAAAUAUUCAAGGAUGUUCCAGUCUUCGGAAACUACCACAGGCAAUGGGUAAACUAAUUAAUUUGAGGCAUCUUGAAAAUUCUUUUCUUAAUAAUAAGGGCUUGCCAAAAGGAAUUGGAAGAUUAAGCUCUCUUCAAACGCU
rnacentral:lncRNA from 1 species